rnacentral:lncRNA from 1 species
AAAAUAGCUGCUGCUACAUAGCCAUGCAUGCAUGUCCGAUGCAUGCAUGUGUCUGCGACUGCGUUCGCGCCGUCGACGUCUCGUGUUUGAUUGAAGUGUACGUGUAGUCGUGUAUGGGAUAUGGAUGGAUGCAUAGGAAGCACCCAUCGCAUGUCUCGCUUGGUUUGUUGUUGCCAGUGUAAUGUGCUUGGUUUGUUGUUGCCAGUGUAAUGUGUUUCAGUUCAGUAAGUUUUUUGAAUGAUGAAGAAUUAUGCAUGAUCGAUUAAGCUUGAUAUCGCCAUCGUACAGUGUCAUGUGCCAUAUACUCGUUAAUUGCUGCCGAGAGCUCGAACCAAAAUCAUCGGACGUACGGAACAGACAGAAGAGCUCAGUGAGUACACGAAGAUAGCGUAAUAAUUAAGUGGGUGCACCGGAAACGUGGGUCACGGUGGUGGUGGUGUGUACACUUGAGCCAAUGACAGUUCAGCGAUGGAGCCCCUUAUUUAGCUCGCUUGGUGCUGAGGUAGGAGUAGGACACGAUGACAGGGAAUCAGAUAAGCCAGUUCAAAUAUGGUGUAGUCGGGGGUAGGUAUGGUGGAAGGGGCCGUAGUCAUUGGUCGCUGCAUGGAGCGAUGGUCGGAGGCGGACGUACGUACACCAUGCGUGAGUUUUGAUCUGCAGGUGGAAUAACGUUUAUCUUUUACGGGAGAUGUGGAGGAAUGAUUUAGAGCAACUCUAACGGAUCCCCUAACCUUUACAGGAGGAUAAAUGCGGGUUUUCUCCUGUAAACCGAAACUAACCGAACCUCGCCGUCCGCAAUGCCUAAAUAUACUCAGCNNNNNNNNNNNNNNNNNNNNNNNNNNNNNNNNNNNNNNNNNNNNNNNNNNNNNNNNNNNNNNNNNNNNNNNNNNNNNNNNNNNNNNNNNNNNNNNNNNNNNNNNNNNNNNNNNNNNNNNNNNNNNNNNNNNNNNNNNNNNNNNNNNNNNNNNNNNNNNNNNNNNNNNNNNNNNNNNNNNNNNNNNNNNNNNNNNNNNNNNNNNNNNNNNNNNNNNNNNNNNNNNNNNNNNNNNNNNNNNNNNNNNNNNNNNNNNNNNNNNNNNNNNNNNNNNNNNNNNNNNNNNNNNNNNNNNNNNNNNNNNNNNNNNNNNNNNNNNNNNNNNNNNNNNNNNNNNNNNNNNNNNNNNNNNNNNNNNNNNNNNNNNNNNNNNNNNNNNNNNNNNNNNNNNNNNNNNNNNNNNNNNNCCUCCCUCGCCCACAACCACUCCGCCACCCAUCCCCGGCCAACCAUGGAAUUUUUUUUUCACCCGCAAAAGAAAACAUGGAUUUUUUCGAAGAUAGUCAGCAAUAUUUUCACCGAGCAGACCUGACUAUAUGGCCCUUUGAUAAAAGUAUCGUGCCGGCCCAAAGACCUGAGCUUGAGGAUUGGCCUGAGACGCGAGCUAAACUGGACGGCACGGCACAACACGGCUGCGGGCCGGCCCACAUUGCUUUUCGUCCUUGUGGGUCGUUUUGAUCUUCUGGCCGUUUCGGCCUUUCAGACCUUUUGCUUUUAGGUUAAGAAAAUGGCCAAAACUGCUUAAAAAACGAAAAAGCUAUAAAAGACCAAAACAGCGAAAUCACUAGUUAAGGAGUACUCCUUGCGGAGAUCACUUCAACUUUCUCAGAUUGCGGCAAGUGGCGCGCUGCAUGUGCGCCACUUGUCGCAACCGGGAAGUUUUCCCUUUUUUCGUAGAUCCGUUUAUUCAGAACGUUUUAUCUCUUAAAUCGUGCGUCCAAAUCUCGAACCGCUUUCGCUGUUGGAUUCCUCGCGUCGAGAUCUUCAAAACUAGAUCCCAUGUUGAUAGGUUUUGACGAAAAAAAAUUCAUGAAAAAACCGGACGAAAAAAAACCGAACCGGGAACACAAAUUUUUUUCCCUUUCCGAAAGUGGCACGCCCGUGCCUCUGACAAAAUCACAACCGUGCCUCUCGCGAUAGAAAAAAACCCAGAAAACACGGUUUUCCCUUUUCGAAAGAGGCAUGCCCGUGCCUCUCGCGGAAGCAAAACCGUGCCUCUCGUGAAAGAAAAAAAAACAGAAAAUGUGUUUUUUUCAUUUCCGAGGAGGCACGGUCGUGACUCUCGCGAAAGCACAUUCGUGCCUCUCGCGGAAGCAAAACUGUGCCUCUCGCGAAAGGAAAAAACAGAAAACACGUUUUUUUCCGUUUCCAAGAGGCACGGCCAUGCCUCUCGCGAAAUCACAACCGUGCCUCUCGCAAAAACAAAACCGUGACCCUCGCGAAAAAAAUGUGUUUUUUUGCGCAAAAAAAAUAUUUUUUUCAAAAAAAAAUAUUGAUCGAAAAGCUAGGGAAGACCGGUGAAAACCAAAACAUAAAAAAAACACGUUUAAAAAGCCGAAAACACAUACAGAAAAAUAAAAAAACAAAAUUCAAAGGAAACGCCUAAAGCGCGACACGUGUCGAAUGGCUGAGAACGCAUCAAGUGACGCUGAUCGUUGGGAGGCUGUCGAAGGAGCGCUCGUUAAUUAGUUGGUCUGCCAAAACAGGGGCUAACUUGGACCGCGAGUCAGGCUGUGUCGUGCCAGUCCGCGAAUAAAAGGCCGUAUGGAUCUUAAAAGCACGGCCCAUACGGGUCGACGGCACAAACAGUUCCACCAACCCAGGAAACUUAACCCAAUCCACUCACCACAGAACGUGAGCGUGAGUGAAACGGCCUCCCCUGCUGCUACGCAACAGGCAGCAACGACUUCCCCCACCACUCGGCGGCACCAGUUCCCCUCCCCAUCCAUCCGAACGCCCGCACGCCCCAGCACCUCUCACCAUGACUCAGGAAGACGCGCAUGCGCCCGUGAACUUCUGGGGCGAGCACCCGGCGAUGGAGGCGGAGUACUACGCAGCCCUCGGCGCGGAGGGCGAGUCCUCCUACUUCACCACGCCGGACGACGCGGGCGCGCGCCGCCUCUUCACGCGCUCGUGGCGCCCGGCUGCUGGUGGGGGCGUCAGCGCGCGGCCGAGGGCGCUCGUAUUCAUGGUCCAUGGCUACGGCAACGACAUUAGCUGGACGUUCCAGGCCACGGCCGUCUUCCUGGCCCGCUCCGGCUUCGCCUGCUUCGCCGCCGACCUCCCCGGCCACGGCCGCUCCCACGGCCUGCAGGCCUUCGUCCCCGAUCUUGAGGUCGCCGUCGCCGACCUCCUCGCCUUCUUCCGGUCCGUCCGGCGGCGCGAGGAGCACGCCGGGCUGCCGUGCUUCCUGUUCGGGGAGUCAAUGGGCGGGGCCAUCUGCCUGCUGAUCCACCUCCGCACGCCGCCGGAGGAGUGGGCGGGGGCCGUGCUGGUGGCGCCCAUGUGCAGGAUCUCCGAUCGGAUCCGGCCGCGCUGGCCGGUGCCGGAGAUCCUCACCCUCGUGUCGCGGUUCGCGCCGACUCUCCCCAUCGUGCCCACGGCCGACCUCAUCGAGAAGUCCGUCAAGGUGCCCGCCAAGCGCCUGAUCGCCGCGCGCAACCCCAUGCGCUACAACGGCCGGCCCAGGCUCGGCACCGUCAUGGAGCUGCUGCGCGCCACCGACGAGCUCGGCGCGCGCCUCGGCGAGGUCACCAUCCCGUUCCUCGUCGUGCACGGCAGCGCCGACGAGGUGACCGACCCCGCCGUCAGCCGCGCGUUGUACGAGGCCGCGGCCAGCAAGGACAAGACCAUCAAGAUGUACGACGGGAUGCUCCACUCCAUGCUCUUCGGCGAGCCGGAGGAGAACAUCGAGCGCGUCCGGGGCGACAUCCUCGCCUGGCUCAGCGAGAGAUGCACGCCGGCAGCAACUUCCUAACAAACAUAGAAAAGAAACAAACAAUGCAUUCUAUUCGGAUUGUGCAAUGAUAAAUUGUUUCAUGUGCAAAUGUGCGAUGAUUCUGUCUCUCUCUAUAUAUACACACAUAUAUAUUUGAUAAGCUGUCUUUGGUCAACUUUACAUGAUCUCGGUAUACAAAAUGGUUGUCUCCUGAUCAAUGAAAGAAUGCUGCCAGUUUGCGGUGCGUCCGGUUGAUUGUAUCAGCUCUCUGCCGGAGCCAGCGUUGGAUCUGCUGGAGCCGGCGUUGGAUCAGCUGGGGCUGGCGCUGAAGCUGCUGCCGGCAGUACAAGGCGUUCCCGGCCCUGUAUCAGCUUGGCGGAGCGAAUUUUAUCUCCAGCCUUAAUCUGUGAAAGGACAUCUCUUCCGUCUGUGGCAUACCUGCAGAUGUUUGUUUCCACACGGAAGUUCUUUCCUUUUAAUCCACAGGAAGAUAUCAAUUCUUUUUAGGGACCAUAAUAUCUGAUCAUUUCUAGUACUCCCUCCGUUCCUAAAUACUCCCUCCGUCCCAUACAGAUGGAGGGAGUAUUUGUCUUUUUAGAGAUUUCAAAUGGACUACCACAUGCGGAUGUAUAGUAUAUAGACAUAUUUUAGAGUGUAGAUUCACUCAUUUUACUCCGUAUGUAGUCACUUGUUGAAAUCUCUAGAAAGACAAAUAUUUAGGAAUGGAGGGAGUACUAUCUAUUCAUGGGAGUGUAAUAUUAAGUCGUGACUUACCCAAAAACUGAAAAUUGUCCCUCCUCGAAAGAUAUUCCUCCUAAACCAGACUGCAAACAACAGAGAAAUUAUCACAAAUCAAACUAUUUACACAGUUGAUGCUUCUACUCCUAGACAGUGCAAUAACCCCGAAGCAGAUGGUAGAGGAGAUUGGACAUUCAUAACUAUUUCAUUACUUGAGUGGCCUUGGUAGUGCCUGUGUUUGCAUAGAUAUUUCUAACUAAUAGCAUUCAAGAAUUAUAUAACUUUUUUAUAAUAAGUGUGAUGAUAGUUUGACUGAUGAACCCCCAGGGUUCUUACUUAGUCAAUUAAUGAACGAUGUAAUUCUUAUUUGAUUUAAUAAAGCUAGCCAUGAUAGCCUUUCCCCCCAAAAAAAGAAUUAUAUAAUUUUUCAUACAUGGCACAAAGCAACCCUAGGACAGCAAAUAUGGUUCACAAAAGGAGAAGAAACUUGGUGCAUUCUUGAGUCACAUAUACUUAUCCAGACCUUCCAAAAUCAUAUACUUAUCCAACCUAGCCAACAAAAUGCAGAGCAAAUAUGUAUUUGGGUGAUUGCACCUACUGAUUUUUUAUGUUAGUGGAUAAACAUGUAGCCUUACUCACAUUUCUCUUAUCAUACAGAUAGAAGAAGAACUGGGUUGGUGACGAGUAUUCAUCUGAAUCCUCACUAUGUGACAUGGCAACAGAGCCGUAUACAGACAUUGGAAGGACUGGCAAUUCCCCAUCCUAAAUUAUAUGAAGCCAAGGAAACAAGUCAAGAUAUAGAGAACAUGAUUGUUUCACUGUUGAAGUAGUGUGAAUGAGUGACCUGAAUACUUAGCGGGCUUCUGUAUAGUGGUUCAAACUGUCCAGCAGGCAUGACCUCCAAUGGAAGAGUAUACCCUUUCUUCCCAGUCUCACUGUCUACAAUGAUUGCCUGGCUCACAGAUUUCAGUGUUGCACCAUCAUAUGCCCCAUCCAAAACCUGAAGCAAAAUUUACUCUAUUGAGACAUCAAAGCAAGUAUCCCUCCAUUCACAAAUAUAAGAUGUUCUGACAUUUUUCUGAAUCUGAUGUAUAUAGACACGUUUUAGUGUGUUUGUUCACUCAUUUCAGUCCGUAUGUUGUCCAUAUUGAAAUAUCCAAAACAUCUUACAUUUGUGAACGGAGGGAAUAGUUGUAAACAAAAAACUGGAACACAACAGCGUAGUGCAUAUGUCAGACAGAAGCUCUGGCAGAUAUUCCUUAUAUAAAGGCAAUCGUGUUUGCUUAUUUUGCAUUUGUAAAUUUCACCAGAACUAGGCAGGAAAUGAUGAGACAGGGUCAGAGUAAUGCUACCUUACCAGUUUCGCAAUGUUUCCAGCAGUCAGUGGGGCAGAAUAUCCAUCAACUACAACCUGCAUGUAGUAUACAAACCAACAACUGACACACAAAUCUUAUUUUCAAGGGGAAUUCUGGGGAGGACAAUACUAAUGCAAGUCAUGGCAUGACAAAAGGUAGUAACUAAGGCUAUCUGGACAUGCAUUUUAGAGCUCUUGAGCACAUCGUAUUUUAUUUUUGAAAUAUUAAAAAAAUCUAAUCUGUCAUACAGAUAAUAGAAUGAACUAUGUACCCUCAAGUUCUCGUCAGACAUUUGCUGAUUCUUAGUCUAGAUGAAAAUGACAAGAAUGGGAGUUAAAAAAAUCAUUAUUACCUGCUUUAACUGUAUUUUUCUCACAGGCUACAAGAGUGAAACAGAAUUCACGAUGUUNNNNNNNNNNNNNNNNNNNNNNNNNNNNNNNNNNNNNNNNNNNNNNNNNNNNNNNNNNNNNNNNNNNNNNNNNNNNNNNNNNNNNNNNNNNNNNNNNNNNNNNNNNNNNNNNNNNNNNNNNNNNNNNNNNNNNNNNNNNNNNNNNNNNNNNNNNNNNNNNNNNNNNNNNNNNNNNNNNNNNNNNNNNNNNNNNNNNNNNNNNNNNNNNNNNNNNNNNNNNNNNNNNNNNNNNNNNNNNNNNNNNNNNNNNNNNNNNNNNNNNNNNNNNNNAACUAACUACCAAGUCCUGACAUGAGAUUUCUUUCGGAAAAAAGAACUGAGAAGUUAGUGUAUGCUCCCGAAGUCUACAUGGCAUUAUCCAGGUUAUGGUUCCUACUUAUCAUUGUUAAAAGAGUGUACUUGAGGAUGCCUGGCUAUCAAGUAACCACUAAAACAUUUCAUAAGUGAUUGUAGAAACUGACAGCGAAGGGAAAAGGAGACCUCCACCAUUAUCUUGGCAUACAUAUUGAUAAGGUAGCAAGAUGUUGACUCAACUGUUUAUGAUAUCACAAUCAGGCAAACAGCUACCUGAAUUGUAGCAGCACUUUUGGGUUCACCACCAGCAGUUGGAUAGAAUGUUGAGCCAUCACCUUUCUCAACUGUGAAUUCAACAACUGCUCUUCCUGUUAGCCUAUAAAUGACAAGUCAUUUAAAUUAAAUUUUCUACAUGUAUCUUUUUUACAGAUCAGGCAAAAAACCAAACAACUAAUAUUAGUGUCCCAACGCCCUGAGGAUUAUAAAAUGCAAACCACCAUUAUAGUUGCAGAAUCCGUUGUUACUAAUCUGCACAUAUUGUAUAGCUUAUGCAUUAACUAAUCAUAAGCGAACAAUUUUUUCUUAUGGUGCCUCAGGAAUUUCAAAGGAAAAUUAUUUGGGUGAUGUUCUGACCACUCGGUACCAACCUGGAAUUUAUCAUUUUAAAAUAUUAUAGAAAGUGAGGUGUUUUUUCUCUUGCCAUUUCCUGAUAGUAAAAUAAAAAAAUCAAACGGGCAUGUGCCGUAUCAACUGUUUCUCAUAUUUUAUUACUCAAAUUCGUGAUCCUCGGCUCAAAAUUCGAUUGGGGCUUACAUAUUAUUCGGAAUAUUAAAUAUAAGCAAGGAAAUGGACGCAAUAACCAACCAGCGUCCGAAUAUAGAUAAACUUUUAGCUGCCUACAGUGAUUCCCUUCUCUAGUGAAUAUUCAGCGCUACGAUAAAAGUAAAUGCCUAUUUCCCAAGCAGCUCUGGCAGAUAAGUGUUUAACUUGUUUCUCUCAUGAUUAAGUCUUACCCUAACGAAAAUAAAAACUACUCCCUUCGUCCCAUAAUGUAAGACGCUUUUUUACAUUAGUGUAGUGUCAGAAAACGUAUUACAUUAUGGGACGGAGGGAGUACAUGGUUUUCUAUGUCCUGAAUGAUCAAAUUCCAUAUCAGUUUUAAUCUUCAGACCUGCAAGUGUUCCACACUCGUGGCAGUUGUUGGAUCUAGAAUUGCUGGUGAUUAUGACAUGAAGCAUGAAAACAUGUCUACAUACAUAAAUUGAUCACAGAAAUGGCAUGAAAUGCAUUUGGAGAUUAGAGACGCCAACAGAAAAUCACCUUGGGUACUCUAAAUACUGUUUAGGUAAGAGAAAGGAUAAGCCUGGAGCCUGUAGAAAGAAAAUAAAAUCCCUUUAAGUAAUCAGACCUUCAAUUGAGCAGAAUUAGUCUGCUCUCAGUUUCUUGAAACCAAUGGUUCUAAGUUUACUCGACUAACCUGCAACAGCUCCAAUUCAGCAAUAGUAUCAAGAGAAGAAGCAAGCGCUACGGAGAGUCUAUCAUUGUCCUUAUCCUUAAUAUAUUUCAAGAGAGUUUGUAAACCACCCUGCAGAGAUGCUAAAGUAACUCAGCUAUCAUGUAAUCUAUUAAUACUCCCUCCGUUCCACAAUAAGUGUCGACACUUAUUUUGGAACGGAGGGAGUACGAUUCGCUUUUGUUUCACAACAUUAAUUUCACCCUCUUCAGAUAUCAUACAACGGUUCCGAUGCAAAAACAAAUGUAUUUAUCAGUCAAAUUUUACAGGUAUGUAGAUAAAAUCUUGGUGCAUAUGUCAGAUUUUUCUGAAUUUUCUGAAACUUCAAAAUGUGACUUAUUUAUUUUCAUUUUUUUGAAAUUUGAGGCUCCAAUAGAUAAGGGAGCCAAACCACUUCUCUCUUAACAUAGCUUACUUACCUUCCCUUCAAGCAAAGUGGUAUAUAGCUCCGAGCCCUUUUCCUUGAGUUCUGCAGGCAUGCUUGCCAACAUUGCCUCCUUGUUUUCAGUUGCUAUCUGCAUUCAGAGCGAGUUCUAUAUAUCGGGAUUCUGGAUGAUGAGCUCAGGUAGUUCAGUAAGAAGGUUUACAACGCAUGGUUCUAUAUAUCACCAAUCUGAAUAGUUCUUCAGGUCAGGUUAGGGGAGUCAAUGUACCUGCAUGGCUUUCUUGACAUCCCCCUCCAUGGAGCCAUACGGCUUCCUCUGUGGUAUCCUCAGCAGGUACGAGAUGUCCUCCAACGAGUUCUGAAAAAUAUGCGCCCAGAACCUGAGAGACAACGUUCAAUCGCAGGACACGCAAAGCACGACGCCAAUCCUGAAUUUUACCUGUAUGGUCUUCAUGCUUGGGUUGGCAGGGAUGGCCCUUCGCAGCGCGAGCUCCCCCGUCCUGGGCACGUUCGUGUCCGGCGAGUAGAGGACCGCGUUCGCCGGCAGCGCCACGGAAAUCUGGGCGAUGAUAGCAAUCGCCGCGACGGCGCUCUUGAGAAGCUCGAGAACCCCCUCCUGAACCAGACCAUUCACAUGGAGAUAAGGCCUCCGGGGACCUCGGAAGACGUGGUUUGGAGUAGAGUUGCAGCUACCUCAGCCGUGGUUGGGGAGGAGGCGUGGUGCGGGCGGCUGCGCGGUGCACGGGCGACGCCGCAGCGAAUGCCGUGGUGGAAGCUCGGGCGCUUCGUCCACACGACGAACUUGGUGCCGCCGGCCGCGGCCGCGGGAGCGCGCGGGGGUACGGGGAGGGCACCGGCAAGCACUACCGUGGCCAUUCGCGAUGCCAUGGUGGUUGCGGCCUUUGUGGAGGGAUUUCGGGUUGGUGCGAAGGAAAGGAAUGGAAGGGUUGUGCCGUCGUCGUGGUCGCCGUCUAUCCCCAGCCAGUGAGCUGCAAUCCGGGGGAGCUCCUACUCGCCGCUUAUUGCGGCAAAGAGUCGACGCUUCGCAUAGGUAGGUUUCGCCUGGGCCGGCCCAUUUUCCGUUGGCGAGGUGAAAAAAUGCUAAAAAAACUGAGCGAGCUCAGGAUUCGAACCCCUGACUACGUGGUCAGCCGGAGUAGCUGUUCCGCUGCGCCAAGGUACCUCCUGUGCUACUUUUGCAGCGCAAUGGUUAAAGAAACCAACGACAGUGGCAAAAACUGAACAUUCACAAAAAAAAAUCUUCAAAUUUGACUUGUCAAUUUUAUUUCUCAUGAAAAUUUCCCAAAAACUAAAGUGUAGGUGAACAAGGUAGCUUGCUAACUAUAGCUCCUGAGUGUCUAUGUCUCAAUGGGAGCUUGUCCUAUACGAACUAUAAUCAACAUCAGAUGUAAACUUUUUUGAAAGUUUGAACUUGAUUUCUUUUUUGAAAAAGGUAAAUAUAUUUUGAAACACAAACAUUUUUAAAAUUGUGAACUUGACAACACUUUUUCGAAGUAUGAUACUUUUCCGAAGCACGAUCAUUUUUCUGAAUUUAUGAACAAAUUUGGAAAACUGGAACAUUUAUAUAAUUCCGAACUUUUUUUCAAUUUACGAAAUAUGUUCGUGUCUCCUAGUGAACACAAUUUGAAAGUGAGAACAUUUUUUGAAAUUAUGAAGAAUUUUAGAAAAGAUGCAAACACUUUCUGAAAAUCAGGAACAAAAAUUGAAAAUGGCAACACUUUUCGAAGAUAUGAUACUUUUUCAAAGCACGAACAUUUUUCUGAAUUUGUGAACAAAUUUGGAAAACUGGAACAUUUUUAUAAUUCUAAACAUUUUUUGAAUUUACGAAAUAUGUUCAUGUUUCCUUGUGAACAAAAUUUGAAAGUGGGAACAUUUUUUGAAAUUAUAAAGAAUUUUAGAAAAGAUGCAAACAUUUUCUGAAAAUCAGAAACAAAAAUUGAAAAUGACAACACUUUUCGAAGAUAUGAUACUUUUCCAAAGCACGAACAUUUUUCUGAAUUUGUCAACAAAUUUGGAAAACUGGAACAUUUUUAUAAUUUCGAACAUUUUUUGAAUUUACGAAAUAUGUUCCUGUUUCCUCGUGAACAAAAUUUGAAAGUGGGAACAUUUUUUAAAAAAAAUCGGCAACAUGAACAUUUUUUAAAUUUGUGAACAAAAUCUUGAAGGUGAGAACUUUUUUUUAAUGUACAAACCAAGUUCCAAAACAUGAACAUUUUAACAAAUUGUGAACUAAUUUUGACAGUGGGAACAUUUUCUGCCAGUGAAAUAACCAGAAAACUGAAACAGGAAAAAAAGAAAAAAACAGAAAAUUGAAACAGUGAAAAAGAAAAAAAAGGAAAAGAAAAAAGAAACAGAAAAAUAAAAUAAAAAUCCGGUUCAGGAACCUGCUACAAGGUUCCCAAAACCGGAAAAACCGACUGGAACCUUCCAGAACGUUCCUAAAACCGGGAUCGUUGUAAAGCAUGUGGCGCUUUUAACUGGGCCGGCCCGUCACGGUCGAUGCAUGUGCGGCGCCCCGACAACUUGACACAAAAUGCGUCAAAUAGGAAAAUCCUCCGGUUCAGUAGUCCGCGUGGCCUAUGCUUGCAUUGCAUUAGGCCUCAGCCCGGCCCAUGAUGCCAUUCUAUGAGCCGGCCCUUGUAAGACCUCCGGUUAGGGCAAGCAUCUAGAUACUUCUAGCCAAUGGUGAGGCUCAUAGUCUAGCUAAACACUCUCUUAUUCUCGAUCCGGGGCGGCAUGUCUGGCUGGCAACCCCCCACGAUCCGGCUUGUAUCCUACAUCAUGAAUAAAGUUUAGUUUUUGCCCUAAAAAACACUAGAUACUUCUAGCAUUGUUUAAAAAAAAUCUAGAUACGGUCUCCUCGCCUCAUGCUGCCAUCUUGGUGCUGAGAGGCGGGGGACCUUGGAUCUUCGAGACCUCUAUGUUCCUCAUCAACGUUUAGUGAUCAUCAUAGUUAUGUGAGAAUAAAUUUCUUCUUGUUCUUUUGACGGUGCCAUGAGGUUAGAGAGUUUUCUAUCCUUGCAGAUCUGAUAAUUCAAAUCUGAAAGAUCUAGUGAGUUUAUAUUGUUGUGUCAACUUUUUUUUGUUGGCCUGAUCUUUGUGGAGGUGAAAUCAUUCAUCGAUACUAUUGUGAAGAUAUAAUGAUUCGACAACCUACACUUCUAGGAGAUCAUUCCCGGCACAAGUACGUUCAUCGAUCAAGACCUCCCAUCUUUUUGGAUGGACGACUCAAGGCGCUUUCAAAAGCCAUUAGUGAUAAUGUUCGUGCGGAUGAAAGAGUGACAACAUUGUUGCUCCAGCCCAAUUGCAGUCUCUACGGAAGAUUUUGGAGUAUUUCUUCAAGCAGAGAUUGAUACCGCGAAGAAUUUAUUUUCAAAAGAUUUCAUUGUAAUUUUUAGUCACAGGAGUUACUUUGUAUUUUCUUGGAUUUUAGGUCCAAAUCAGUGUAUGAGUAUGAAUAAAGUUAUCGUGUGUUUUAAAUAAGAUACUUUCAUCAGGUUUUUGGGUUUUUUAUGUGUUUGUUUGGCAGGGGUUUUUGUUCUUGUUUUCUUUUUCUCUUUCCUUUUAUUUUUAUUUUUUUAUUUCCUUUUCUUUUUUCCUCUUCUCUUAAUUCAUGAACAUUUUCGAAUUGGCAGACAAUUUCCAAAUUCAAAAAUAUUUUCCAAAAUUCAUGAAAUUUUCUUGAAUUCCUCAACCUUUUUAAAAUUCAUAAAAAAUUCCAUAUUAGCAAAAAAAUAAAAAAAAUUCAAAUUCAAUAUUUUCCCCAAAAAUGUGAUUUUUUUAAAAUUCAUAAAGGUUUUCCAAAUUCAUGACUUUUUUUAAAUAAACUUUUUCAAAGUCAAGUUUUUAAAUUUUUCCGAAUUCAUGGUUUUUUAGAAGUCAACUUCCCAGGGGCGCUCGUGGGUGAGCUAGGAUGCGCCAAGUGGCAUGUUGCGAGCAAGCGGGAGGCGAACAAACAAGGAUCUUUGGGUUUUUCUUUUGAGAAAAGUAUACAUUUCAUCCCUCAACUUCUGGUGAAGUCUAAAUUUGAUUCCUCAACUUCAAAACCGGACAACUUACACUCCAACUACCGAAAUCGGACAAGGUUCGUCCCUGGACUUGGUUUUGACAGGUUUUGGUGUUGACUCACCCCGGUUUUGACCCGUGCUGACUCAUAUUCCUGUAAAUUUUUUAUAUCCGUGAACUUUUUGAAAUUCAUAUACAAUUUUCAACUCCACGUAGUUUUUCCAAGGUCAUGUAUUUCUUAUAAAAUAAACAUACUUUUUUCAAAUGAGCGAACUAUUCUGAAAUUCGCGUACUUUUUCCAAAUCCGUGAUUUUUAAUAUUUACGUACUUUUUCCAAAUCCCCGUAUUUUUCCCAAGUUUGUGUAAUUUUAUCAAAUCCAAGUAUUUUUCAAAGCCAUGAACUGUUUUUGAAAUUCGUAUACUUAUUUCAAAUCUACAUGCUUUUCAAAGUCCGCAUUUUUUUCCAAAUCCGUGUUCCUUUUAUAAUCCAUGAACUUUGUUUGAAAUUCACGUACUUGUUUCAAGUAGAAAUAAUUUUUAAAAUCUACAUAUUUUUGCGUAAACGAAGUCCAUAUCCCCGUACUCUUUUCAAGUUCGCAUAAAAUUUAAAAUUCAUGAACUCUUUCAAAAAAUGUACUCAAAUAUGAAAAGGUACAUCAAUUUAAAAAAAUUAAAUGAACUUAAAAAAACUAAAUGAACUUUAAAAGAAUACGCAUAUUUGAAAAAGUACAUGAACUUGGAAAAAGUACGUAGAUUAAGAAAAUACACAAAUUUUUAAAAGAUUCACGUAUUUGAAAAAAGUAACCGAAUUUGAAAACAUUACGUGGACUUGGAAAAGGUAGGCAAAUUUGAGUCGGAACUGUCAAAACCGGGGUGGGACAUGACCAAAACCGGUCAAAACCGUGACGAGGCAUGAAGCUUGUCCGGUUUCAGAAGUUAAGGAUGCAAGUUGUCCGUUUUUAGAGUUGAGGGACCAAAUCUAAACUACGCCAAGAAUUGAGGGACGAAAAGUAUACUUUUCUCUUUUCUUUUCUUGAUUUCUUCUGUGGUUUUUCACUUAAAUCUUUGUCUUUUGUGGGGGUUUAUUUACUACAUAUUAGAAGGGAAAAGCUUGUAUUCAAUCGAUGGAUCGCAAGCGAGCAUUCACGGGCUCGUCUGUAUGACGCGUUUCCUUGACGGAGUGAUCUUCUUUUCUUUCUUUCGGUCAACGUUGCCAUUCUCACUGUUCCCUGCAUAAGUUUCCGCAUCAAGGUCUUUGUUGCUGCAAAAACUGCUACAAGAUCUCUGUUUCAGAAAAAUUAAAUUUGCAAUGAGAUCUUUGUUGCAAACAAAAUUAAUUGCAAAAGACUUUUGUUGCAAAAAAAUUUGAAACAAGACCUCUGUUGCAAAAGAAAUAUCUUGUAAAAAUUUCUGCAACAUGACCCGAGUUGCAAAAAUUUCCCGCACACGACCUGUGUUGCAAUGAUAAAAGGCAAUGCUCGAUCGCUCAAUUCGUCGGAUCUGAUGGCUCGCUAGGUGACGGAUCAUUUUAAAAAGAUCCAUCGGUCGACACGUAGCAGCGCCCAUAUUAGAAGUACAAUUUAUAAGGACGAUGUGCACCACAUGUGUUCCUCACCAUAAGGCGUAGAUUUGCUCGAACAUGUGUGCUAGCACAUGCAUGCUCUUUGUGCGGAGCACAUGUGUGAGCAAAGUUGUGAUUCACGUCGUGGGAGCACAAUCCAAUAACUUGGUAGCACACAUGUGCUUCCAUGGGGAGUACAUUCGUGCUUCACCCUCACGGGAGUACAACCUAGUACACUUGAGCACAGUUUUGUCCUCAUGCGAGGACAUUUCUGCUUCACCCCGUGGGAUCGUUGGGAGCACAUGUUAGUUUUCAUUGGGAGUAAAGUUUAGUACUAGCUGGGAGCACAUUUACAUAGACAAAAGUUGUUGAAACCUACCAACAUAUGAUCUAGUUUCAAAAAUCUAGACGCAAGAAACGCAGCGUUGAAAAAGGUCUGUAAUUUGGACAUACGGUUCAAGAGUGUUCCUUUUUGGAAGAAAGGAUCUACAAGAAAAAGCACAAACAAAUCAACAUAUUCCUUAUGUGCUGGCGAUAAAUCCAUCCAAAACUCUCAUAUUGCAACAAGUGGCACACAUAUGGCAUGCCACUUGUCAUCGUAAAAGGAGAUGAGAUUGACAUUUGCAAGGGGCACCCGUUAAUUAGUGAUUUUGCCUCGUUAGAUACUACAGUGUCAGAAUAGUUCUCGUAGGUCAUUUGGUCAUUUUCUCAGUCGUAGACCUCAAGUAUUUGAAUCAACCUAUUUGACGUGUUCUUGAAUCAACCUAUUUGACAUGUUCUUGAAUCAACCUUUGCUAACAUAAAACACAUCAUUUGUGGUUGAUCUAAACCAUACUAGGGUUAUUCAUAAUUAGCUUAAUAACUUAUCGUAUGCCCCUUAUUAUGUGGUGAAGCUGGAUACUUGGAAAGUGUAUGAUCGUUUGGAGUGAGCUUAUCUUGAAGAAAUCAUCAGAAAGUUGGGACUAUGCAGAGAGUUUGUUGACGCAAUAAUGAUGGGUUUAGAUCAGACAUAUUUUUAGUGUUAUUCAAUGGGCAUUACAUAGGAAUUUAAUCUAUCUAGAGGAACAAGGCAGGGGUUCUCAUCUCCCCUACUUCUUUCUACUAGCAAGUGAAGGUCUGUCUUAUUUGCUGAAGCAUGCGAGUAGCACUGGACAACUGGAGAGUAUCUGUAUAGCACAAACGGGUCUAUGUGUGAAUCAUUUGCUCUUCACAGAUGAUUGCAUCAUGUUAGUAAGGCUUUGAUGGAUGAAGUUGCAACCUUGCAUGAGUUGCUUGAUUGGUAUUGCCAAGUGUCUGGACAAAGACUUAACAAUGACAAAUCAUCAAUCUAUUUUGGGGAAGUGUGCCUACUGACAACUAAAAAAAUGGUGAAACAGGUGCUGAAUAUCCACAAUGAAUCCUUGAUUGGUAAAUAUUUGGGCUCCCUUCGGAUGUUGGCCGUGAAAAGAAUGAAAUUUUUCCUUACAUUAAAGACCGCAUCUGGAAGCGUGUUCAAGGAUGGGUGGAGAAGUGUAUUGCUGGGAGUAGGAGGGUAGUUCUGAUAAAGUUUGCUGUACAUGUUAUACCAACAUAUUCAUUGUUUGUAUGCAUGUUGUCGAGGGGCUUAUGCUAGCCUAUCACAUUGCUUGUGCAAAAGUUCUGGUGGGGAAGCAUGCCAGGGGAGAGAAAGGGCGUGAGGGUGUCAUGGGACACAAAGACAAUGCAGAAUUACAUAGGUGGUUUAGGCUUUAAAUAAAUUGAGCUUUUUAACCUAGCUUUAUUAGCCAAAUAGGCAUGGAGAAUCCUCAACGACCCUGGUUCGUUGAGUGCUAGGUUGCUUAUGCAUGUUUACUUCCCUAGGAUGGAUAUCUUGAGUGCAGAAAUUGGCAAGCACAGAUCACAUAUUUGGAGAUAAAUCUACGAGUGAAAGGAUGUUCAAAGUGGGGCUUAUAAAACUCAUCUGGGAUGGAAUGAAAAUUGGUUUCCCAAAGACCAUGCGAUGUGGCCCACGUGUGCUACUUCGGUCGAUAUGUCGGGCAAUGUAUCAGUGAUAUUGUGUGCCACGACAAGAACAUUGGAUAUUCAUAAGUUAUAACAACAUUUCAUAUUAUUCGAUAUUUAGGUGAUUCGUCGAAUUCCUAUCAACCACAUGACCCAGCCAGACUUCUAGUUGUGCCAUUAUGAGAAGCGCAGAAAUUCCACCGAUUGUUCCCCUAUAGGCUUCUAGUUAAAACUAAGAAGCCAGUGGAAGGCUAGUUGAAUGGGGUGUCUGAAGCUUCAGAUAACGAGCAGCGGGACCGAAACCACAAGAAACUAAGGGAAGCUCUAGUUUCUCCGAAGUUAUGUAUUUGUGCAUGGCGGCUAGCCCGAUCUUCAUUGCGAAGAAGGACGAGUUUCUCCUACGAGAAUCUCUAGUUUCUCUAACGUAUCUACUUUUCCAAACAUGUUUGAUCUUGUUUUAGACUCUAAUUUGCAUGAUUUGCAUGAAACUAACCCGGGAAAACGUUGUUUUCAACAGAACUACCAUGGUGUUGUUUUUUGUGUAGAAAUAAAAUUUCUUAAAAUUAGACAAAACUUGGCAGAGAUUUUUUUAUUGAAUAAAUAAAAAUACUGGAACAAAGAUCUACAGGAGGGGGCACCCGCUGUCCCAAGACACAGGGCGUGCCCUGAUGUCUUAUGGUGCCCACAUGCGGCCGUCUGGCCUAAUUCCAAUCCUAUAUAUUUUGUCUUCCCGGAAAAAAGGGAAGAAGUUUCAUCAUGUUUUACGAUACGGAGCCGCCGCCACUGAUACGUCUCCAACAUAUCUAUAACUUUUUAUUGUUCCAUGUUGUUAUAUUAUCAUUCUUAGAUGUUUUAUAUUCAUUUUAUAGCAACUUUAUAUCAUUUUUUGGGCUAACCUAUUGACAUAGUGCCCAGUGCCAGUUGUUGUUUUUGCUUGUUUUUUGCUUCGCAGAAUAUCCGUAUCAAACAAAGUCCAAAUGCAGUGAAACUUUUUGGAGAUUUUUUACUACCCAAAAGAGACACAGGGAACCCAGGAGGUGCACCAGAGGAGGCUCGUGGGGCCCACAAGACACCAGGGCCCGCCAGAGGCCCCUGGCGUGCCCUGAUGCCUUGUGGGGCCCACGUGAAGCUUCUCGACCGCCUCUCAGCUCUAUAAAUAUCCAAAUAUUGCAGAAACCCUAGGGGAGUCGACGAAACACAAUUCCAGCUGCCGCAAGUUCCAGAACCACGAGAUCCAAUCUAGAGCCCUUUUCUAGCACCUUACCGAAGGGGGAAACGAUCACGGAGGGGUUCAUCAUCCUCAUUGGUGCUCCUCCGAUGAUGCGUGAGUAGUUUACCACAGGCCUACGGGUCCGUAGGCAGUAGCUAGAUGGCUUCUUCUCUCUUUUUGAUUCUCAAUGCAGUGUUCUCCUCGAUGUUCUUGGAGAUCUAUUUGAUGUAAUGACUUUUUGCAGUGUGUUUGUUGGGAUUCGAUGAAUUGUGAGUUUAUGAUCAGAUAUAUCUAUGAAUAUUAUUUGAGUCCUCUUUGAACUCUUAUUCGCAUGAUCUUUAUAGCCUCGUAUUUCUUCUCCGUGGUUUGGUUUGGCCAACUAGAUUGAUUUUUCUUGCAAUGGGAAGAGGUGCUUUGUGAUGGGUUCGAUCUUGCGGUCCUUAUUCUCAGUGAUAGAUGGAGACAUGACAUGCAUGUGUCGUUUCCAUUAAAGAUAAAAAGAUGGGGUAUAUUCCUAUAUGAAUAGAUCUUGUCUACAUCAUGUCAUCGUUCUUAUUGCAUUACUCCGUUUCUCCAUGAACUCAAUACACUAGAUGCAUGCUGGAUAGCGGUCGAGUUGUGGAGUAAUAGUAGUAGAUGUAGGCAGGAGUCUGUCUACUAAUCUUGGACAUGAUGCCUAUAUACAUGAUCAUUGCCUUGGAUAUAGUCAUAAUUAUUUGCUCUUUUAUCAAUUACCCAACAGUAAUUUGUUUACCCACCAUAUGCUAUUUUCUCGAGAGAAGCUACUAGGGAAAUCUACGGCCCCUGGGUCUAUUUCCUAUUAUAUUGUUUUCAGAUCUAUUAUUCCACAAACCCCAAAAUACCUUGCUGCACUUUUUCUUCAAUAUUUUAUUUCGUGUUUUUGCUAUCUAUUUAUCCAAUCUCAUACAAUUUAGUCUAUCUCAAUUUCGAGGAGGGAUUGACAACCUCUCUAACGCAUUGGGUUGCAAGUAUUUGUUAUUUGUGUGCAUGUACUGUUUACAUAGUGUUGCUUGGUUCUCCUACUGGAUUGAUAACCUUGGUUCCACAAUUGAGGGGAAUACUUAACGUUGUUGUGCUGCAUCAUCCUCCCCUUGUCGGGGAAAUACCAACACAUAUACAAGCAAUCAGGAAGAAUUUCUGGCGCCGUUGCCGGGGAAACAUCAUCAACAUCUAUCAGGUACCCAAUCACAAAUCUCAUCUCCUUGCAAUUUAUGUUAUUUGCCAUUUGCCUCUCAUUUUCAUCUCCCCAAAAUGUUUUUGCAAAAGCACAAAAAUAUUUGCCUUUUUAUUUUCCUUUUUUUGUUUGCCUUUUGCUUUGCUCAUCUCGUUAACAUGGCUACCCCUCCUUUGUCACCGAAUUUUAAAGUUUUAUACUUCAAACACAAGCAAGGAGAAAAUUUGAAAGAUGCUUGGUAUAGGUUGAUGGAAUCUUACCACAUCUGCAAUAUAAAGGGAGAUGCAAAGAUUUUGCUUCGUAAUUUUUAUAUAGGUUUAACCCUGCAUCAUAGGCAACUCUUGGAUUUUGCUGCUAAAGGGAUUUUUUUUGAAAUUGAUGCUAAUGCUGCCUAUGAAAUAAUAGAGGGAAUAUUGGGAGUUCCACGAGCAAAAAAGGAGUUUACUUUCACACAAGAAGGGAUUCAAAUAUUAGACAAAUUGGGUCAUUUACAGAAAAAAUUGGUUGAGUUGCAAAAAUCUAAUGAACCCCUCAAACAUAUCAGUGGGAACCUCAAUCACAUGAAUACUUUGAUUACUCUUUGUAAUAAGCGGAUGGAUAUUUUAGAUUUUAAGAUGAUCUCUUUUCCUGAGAAUAUUGAGAAGCUUAAAGAGCCUCCCGGGUUUGAGAAAGCCCUCACAAAGGUGGCAAAAACCAAUGAUGACAAUACUUUAAUCUAUGCAUUAUGCCUAGCUAAGGGCGUAAAACAAUAGUGGUUGUUGGGAGGCAACCCAAUAGUUAUCUUUGAUUUUUUUAUUUUCUUUCUAUUCUUCAAUACAUAUGCAAUUAUACUUCUGUUAUGAUUGUGUUUUUAUGUUUUAAUUAGUGUGUGUGCCAAGUAAAGCCUUUAAAAUCAUGUGGGGUGAUCGUUGAUUUGAUCCUGUUGAAAAACAGAAACUUUUGCGUCCAGUAGCUGAAUUUAUAAAAAUCAUAGAAGCAACGAAAAAUUCUAAAAUUUUUACACAAGAUUGGUAUAAAAAUUGCCUAUGUCGUCCUAAUUUUUCAGAAUUUUGGGAAUUAUUGAAGUAUGGACAAAGUUCAGAUUACUACAGACUGUUCUGUUUUUGACAGAUUCUGUUUUUGUUGCAUCAUGUGCUUAUUUUGAUGAAUCUAUGGAUUGUAUUGGAUGCUAUAAGCCAUGGUAAAGUUAGAAUAAAGUAGGUAUAAUGCAACAAUAAAAUAUGAAUGGGUUUGCAGCAAUACUUAAAGUGGUGAUUUGCUUUAUUAUACUAACGGAUCUCACGAAGGUUUUGUUGAGUUUUGUGUGAUUGAAGUUUUCAAGUUUUGGGUGAGAUCACAAUGGAUGAAGGAAUAAGGAGUGAAAAGAGCCUAAGCUUGGGGAUUCCCAUGGCACCCCAAUGUAUUCAAGGAGAACCAAGCAACUAAGCUUGAGGAUGGCCCAGAAGGCAUCCCCUCUUUCUUCUAACGACCAUCGGUAAUUUUACUUGGAGCUAUAUUUUUAUUCGUCACAUAUCAUGAGUUUUGCUUGGAGCGUCUUGUAUUAUAUGAGUCUUUGCUUAUUUUUAUUUUUAAUUUUUCACAAUCAUCCUUGCUGGACACACCUAUUUGGAGAGCCAUAAUGAUGCUAUGAUUUGUUAGAAUUGCUCUAUGUGCUUCACUCACUACAAAAAAAUACACUUCCGUGAUAUGAUAUAACAAGAUGGUAUCUCGCUAGCCCUUUCUGAGACCGCAAAACAUAAAUACAGAGCACCCCUGAAGAUCAAGGACUGACUAGACAUUGUAAUUCAUGGCAAAAGAGAUCCAGUCACAGCCAUACUCAAUAUAAAUUAAUAGCAAUGCAUACAAAUGACAGUGGUGCUCUCUAACUGGUGCUUUUUAUAAGAGGAUGAUGACUCACCAGUAAAAGUAAAUAGAUAGGUCCUUCACAGAGGGAAGCAGUGAUUUGUAGAGGUGCUAGAGCUCGAGUUUUUAAAACAGAGAUAAAUAAUAUUUUGAGCAGUAUGCUUUCAUUGUGAACAUAACAACCAAGAGAUCUCGAUAUCUUCCAUACUAGAUACAUUAUAGCGGUUCCCAAACAGAAUGGUAAAGUUUAUACUCCCCCACCACCAACAAGCACAUUCAUCGGCUGGUCCGAAACAAUGGGUACCGUCCAACUAACAACAAUCCCGGGGGAGUUUUGUUUGCAAUUAUAUUUUGAUUUGAUUUUAGCAUGGGACUGGGCAUCCCGGUUACCAUCCAUUUUCUCGUAAAUGAUGAGCGGAGUCCACUCAUCGUGAGAAUAACCCACCUAGCAUGGAAGAUAUUGACAGCCCUAGUUGCUACAUGAGAGAUUCGAGCAUACAAAAUAGAUUAUCAUUUGAAGGUUCAGAGUUUGGCACAUGCAAAUUUACUUGGAACGACAGGUAAAUACCGCAUAUAGGUAGGUAUGGCGGACUCAUAUGGAACAACUUUGGGAUUAUGGAUGUGGAUGCACAAGCAGUAUUAUCGCUUAGUACAAGUGAAGGCUAGAAAAAGACUGGGAAGCAACCAACUAGAGAGCAACAACAGCCGUAAACAUGCAUUGAGAUUAACCAACAUUGAGUGCAAGCAUGUCGGUGUACAAAAGUAGGGGCCUUUUUGUACCCCUUUACUUGUGCACGGGCAGUCGUAGCCGCACCUGCGGCCAUGCUUGGUGGGGCAGAGGAAGGAAAGGAACGAUACUGCCAAGACAACACUCAAGCCAGACGCAUGAAGAGCAAAGGGGCGAGAUGGACUUCCCCCAGCAGCAACCUUUUCGGGGCGGCCUAUGUAGGCCCGGCAAGAGCCUUGCCGGGGUGACUUGCCCAAUACCAGCAAGGCCGCCACCCUUGAGCCUGAGAGUUCUGAAACCAUCAACAACGUCAAGACCAAGGCUUGGGAGCGCCUGCGUGGUGGCUUGUAGAUCUUUGUGAAGACCAAAGGCCUGUGAGUCUAGAUAAGAACCAGAAGACAAAGACCCCCGGCAAGAUUCUUGCCGGCGACGACCGAAGACCCCUGGCAGGAUCCUUGCCAGGGAUGCCCGCAAGACUCCGGCAAGACCCUUGUGGGGGACGACUGCGGGGCCACACCCAGGCCCGCACCCGACUAGGUUUAUGCCACCUCACGACCGUUCCGACACGGAAACCAACCCGCCAACUAGGCAAGCGCCUGCAUGGCAACAUGCAGCUUCUAGGCCAACUUGUCAAGCACCUGCGUGGUGGCAUGCAGAUCUUCGUGAAGGUCCUGUCGUCGCACCAUCACAGCAAUCGGCCAGCCAGCCUGGCUGUCGGGGAUGAACCCCGGGCAGGCAACGAAACCCGGAUCCUUUUCAAAAACAGUGGGGCCCGCAUCGCCGCGCAAACCGGCAUGCGCUUGGCCGGGUCGCUCGACCCGGCAGGGCCCGCAACCCGGCCAAACUCACAGACCCGGCAAUGUACGUCAACCCGGCCACAGCAACUGGCGCAAGACAACUCAACCCGGCGCAACCAAGGCUUCCCCAACAAGCCAGCCCCACUCGUGGCGUCCACGGCAACCCAGCCACGGGUCAGCUCCCGUCCCAUCCAGGCCGUACGAUGGGACGAGACCUCAACCACCAAUGACCAAGACAACAGUGUUUCCACCCAUGCCUGUGGUCAGCCGGGGCGUGGCAACAGUGCCCCUCACCUACCCGCUGACCAAGGCUGGCGUGGCAACAGUGCUCCCGCCCUCACCACUGACGACAGCAAGCAGCAGCCUGACGGAGAGCACUGUACACGACUCGACUCGGCCACACCCUGACGACCGAAAAGACGGUGCACAGUUCCCCUAGGCCCGCAGGGCCCGCACCUAGGGGAACCCGGUGAACCACAAGCCCACAAGCAAGACCCAGCCCAGUGCCCCGGACACCGACAAUACGGACCCACCGACUCGGCAUAUUACCAUUGUAACCCUGGGUGGGUUGAUCUAUAAAACCCCCCAGGAACCCAUGCCUACAAGGGAGACAGAGAUACGCACACAAGGAGAAGAUAGAAGACAACACCAGAGGAACACAAGCAAGCAUAGGACUAGCCACCCAACAGCAACACCGAAGAGAAGGAGCAGCCCGAGCCUUGGCCAGCUUCCUUCCUCCUCCACACAGCUCCAGGAGCAAUAUUGUACUACCGAUCAUCCAAUCAAACUCGGCAGGACUAGGGGUGUUAUCUCUCCGAAGAGCCCCGAACCUGGGUAUGUCCGGUGUCCCGCGCCCGCGCAUGCCAACCUCGCCUCUGGAGCCCACCAGCGCCCUCGAGCCUCCUCCUCUCUUUAGCCAUCCCUUGGCAUCUGCCGUGCGCCCACCACGACACUCGCGUUGCAUGCCUCGUUUGCUUGGACGCGCGUUGAAGCAAGGCGAGGCGGUGACAGAUGGGACGAGCUCUCUUGUCGUCCCGAUAAAGCAAGAGGACACGUAGGCGGCGCAUUAAAUGUGUUUGUCCUACGAUGUCAGGCGAUAAACUUGUACACAAUAGAUACUUUCAACCUCCCAUGUGCCACUGUGGCGACCCCUUUGACAUAUAAAAGGAGGCCCGAGGUGUACUGUGUGAGGAUUCAGACUUUUUGGAUUGGACAUGCACCACAGCUAGUUCAAGAGCUCAAGAACACUAAAUGCACAUUAAAGCAGGACUAGAGUAUUACACAUCUCUGCGUCUCGAACCUGGGUAAAAAUCCCCUCGCGCUGAUCACUAGACCUGCUCUUUGCGCAGUUCCACGCCCCGCCAACUGUAGAAGGGAUCCUCGUGGUCCCAUAGGUGUCGUUUCCCCGACAUCUUUGGCGCGCCAGGUAGGGGGCGUGAGGUUGUGAAAAUCUGGUCUAGUAGUUAAUGGAGCAAUUUCUUCAUCGCCAUGGCUCCCAAGAAGAAGGGGAUCACAGCGAUCCGUUCGUCCGAGUCGAACCGCCCGUACCACUAUGGGCGGGCGACGGGGCGGUCGCGAUGGAGGCGUAGGCAUAGCCCACGAGCAUCCACGAUGUUCUGGCAAUCAAAACCAGGCGAGCAGUGUCGAUCAUGCACGGGACGAUGAGCCGCACGCCGCUAGGUCCAAGGGCGAAGCCGUGCCGCCCAUGGGCGGCGCGGCAAACUCCAAGACACCCCAGGCGGCGCUCGCGCAGCGGCCUUCCUAGGUCGCGUGAGACAAGCAACACUGCGACGUUGGGGACCCCAGGCACCGUCGCGAGAAAAGCCCUCUACAUCACUCUCGAGAUGCACCGGGCCGACAUGCAUGCCCAGACGUUGGGGACAACGGAGCGCGGCUGUGAGACCGUGAUAGAGAUCCUUAUAACAUGGUUAGAAGUCAGAGUGCGUCACGGUCCACGCAGAUUUCACUGCCACCUAUGCCCGCGGAAGCAUUGGCGCGCGUGCAACUACUCCUCGACUUCCCUCCUGCUGCGGAGAAGCUCGACGAGUGGAGAGCCACCAUUUGGAGCCUCAUCAGCUUCACCAAUAAAGAUGAACCGCGACCAGUGGGACCCUCGUGUUGGUGCUCUGUCAAGCCGGUGCAUGCCAGUGGUGGAAGGAACAGAGACGUUGUGACCAUGGUGCAGUCUCCUCCCCCAUGCCAGCAACAGCAGCCGCCGGCUCGCCGGGCUGACGCCCACGACAAUGUUUCCACAAUGUCGUCUGACCCGCGAACCCGCUGCAACCAAUGUCAAGUUCUUCGGGAGCGAGCUCAGCAAGACGCUCAGACCACUAUCGAGCGGCGGUGGGAAGCGCGCCAUCAGCCCUUGUGCGAGGCAUGUGUCCAACAUCCCCAAUAGCUGACACGUUUUCAGGGGUGCAAGCCAUAUUUUCGCCUUGUCGAGAUGCUUUUAUUGUGAACAUCUAUGAUCCGAUAAAUUAGGCAAGUCUUGAUCACAAAGCAAAUGACAUAUUAGUGAAGAAUGGGCCUAUUAGAGAUGAAUUUUCCUUUGGAAGGCAUGUCAACAUUUUUCAUAUGCACAUUAGUUUAGAAAACGAUCAAGAGACAUCUUUAAUAGUUGGAUUAAGGGCCCUAAAUUUUAGUUUCGCGGUAGGCCUCCUAAGUUUCAUAACCGGACCAGUGGUCGUGGUUGCUUUUAGUGCAAUGUUGGUCGCGAGAUAGUGAUGGCUUUUGCGAAAAGAUGUAUGUAUUGCAUUGUUGUCAUCUAUUUGCCAUUCUAGAAUCUUAUGGUUGUCAUGUAAUCCUCUAACCAAGCUUGAGGAUCUUGGAGGCCAUCGUACUUGGGAGUUUUAGCCGUCAACUUGAAUCGCUUCGGCUUCCGGGCUUGAAAAAUCUCGUGGGUGACCCACAGAGUUCUUCCACCGAAUCAGGUGAGUCCCAUGCUGAACGCUUCGCUCGCGAUCUAUUUAGGCGUUCUUGUGUGGCUUUGUUAAUUUCUUCGGCUCACUCCCGGCGUAAUCGAUCUACCUUUCCUUGCGUGAUUUUCCUUCAUCGUGUCAUGAGGUGUGGUUCUCUAGGGCCUUUGGCUUUUUAACUGCUGACGUCUCGCGUGCGUGGCUUCUACCCGGCGAAGUUUUCGCAGCUCCGCACUUGUGAUGUUUAGAGCAUCUCCAGCCGUUCGGCCCCCCAGGGCGCCGAAAAAGAGCAUCCUGGGUGUGCACCGGCGAUAAACUCGGCGCUGGGGGCGGUUCGGCACCCAGCCGUCGCCCCGAGGCAUCGAAUUCAGCCCAGCUUUCGGCCCAAAUAUGUCCAAAAACGGCCCGAUAACUACGUGAAUCAGCCCAUAUUCAGCGCGGUUCGGCGGCUUUCGGUGUGAAUUUUUGCAAACAAAUAGGAAUCAAUUAGCUCCUCACAUAGUUCGGUGUGUUUCAUCACAUAAACCAAAUAUCUCACUAGAAAUUAUAUCGUUUAACAAAUAAAACUCAAGUUUCAUCACAUGUCAUUCCCGGCCUCGCCCUUGAGCCUCCAUAGGUGCUCUACCAGAUCGUGUUGCAGUUCUUGAUGCACCUGUGGGUCUUGGAUCUCCUGAUGCAUAUUGAGGUAGUUAGUCCAGUUUGCCGGUAGCUGAUGAUCAACUUGGGCAAGAGGACCCUGCCUGUGGUAUGGUUCAGUAUCAAACACUGGCUCUUCCUGCUCGCUCUCAAUGAUCAUGUUCUGCAAGAUGACACAACAAGUCAUGAUCUCCCAGAUUUGAUGUUUCGACCAGGUCUGAGCAGGGAACCAGACAAUAGCAAAUCAAGAUUGGAGCACACCAAAUGCUCGGUCGACAUCCUUCCUGCAAGCCUCCUGAAAAUUCGCAAACCAGGCGUUCUUGCCUCCUGGCAUAGGGUUUGAGAUGAUCUUCACAAAUAUCAACCAUCUCGGAUAGAUGCCAUCAGCUAGAUAGUACCCCUUGUUGUACUGCUGUCCAUUGAGCUCAAAGUUCACCGGAGGAGAAUGACCUUCAACAAGCUUGGCAAAGACUAUGGAGCACUGCAGGUCGUUGAUGUCAUUGUGAGUUCCUGGCAUCCCAAAGAAAGAGUGCCAAAUCCAGAGGUCCUGUGUGGCCACUGCCUCAAGCACCACACUGCAACCGCCUUUGGCGCCUUUGUACAACCUCUGCCAAGCAAAUGGACAGUUCUUCCAUUUCUAAUGCAUGCAGUCGAUGCUUCCAAGCAUCCCAGGAAAUCCUCUUGCUUCAUUUUGUACUAGGAUCCGAGCAUUGUCUUCUGCAUUGGGUGUUCGCAAGUACUGCGGUCCAAACACUGCCACCACUGCCCUGCAGAACUUGUAUAAAUACUCAAUGGUGGUGGACUCGGCCAUGCGGCCAUAGUCGUCGAGUGAAUCACCGGGAGCUCCAUAUGCAAGCAUCCUCAUAGUUGUCAUGCACUUCUGGAUCGAGGUGAAUCCAAGUGUGCUGGUGCAAUCCUUCUUGCACUUAAAGUAGCUGUCAAACUCCCGGAUGGAAUUCACAAUCCGCAGGAAAAGCUUUCGGCUCAUCCGAUAACAGCGCCGAAAUGUUUUCUCACCGUGCAAUGGAGCGUCGGCAAAGUAGUCCGAGUAGAGCAUGCAGUAGCCUUCCAGACGAUGCCGGUUCUUUGCUUUCACCCGCCCAAGCACCGAGCCACCUCGCUGCGGCUUCUCACUGCUCGCGAGCAGGCCGGCGAUGGCGGCGAGCACCAUGAGAUGCUCCUGCUCCUGGACGUCGACUUCGGCUUCCUCAUCCAGCAACACCGCGAGCGCCUCCUCAUCUUCGGAGUCCAUCGCCGGGCCGGGCAAUUCACCAAACACCUUGUGGGUGAGGUGGGCGCAAGCCCGCCGGUGUACAGGCCCUGCGCAGCCGGAGCACCGGAAAAGUUGCCCGAGGCGGUGGCGAAGAGGCUGCCUCAGUGACGCUCCUUCUUUUUUUCGGCUGGAGACGGUCUACCUAGCUGCGGUGGGCAGUGGUCAGUGCCGGGAUCGGAAGGGUGACGCAGGGUGGCGGCCGAGCGCAGGGGGCAGGAGGGUGAAUCUGGGCGGGUGGAUUGACUUUUCGCCUGUCAAUGUGGCCCUAGGAACACUUUUCCCUUGCGACGGAGCCCCCGAGCGCCCCCAGUGCGCCAGGUUCGGCCUGCGACCGCCGAGCGCAAAAACAGGCCGAGCCGGCGGAAUUCAGCGUCCUGGGGGCGCGACUGGGCCGUUUUUUCAGCGCUGGCGCAAAUAAAUCGCAUGGGGAGGCCGUCCUGAGGGCGCGGCUUGAGAUGCUCUUAGCCUGCACAGGAUAUUGUUGUGGAUCCCUGCUUGCGGCUGGAUAUACAUUAGCUAUGUUUGCGCCUGCAAGAGCCUUUCCUAUGGAGUCUUGGGUACUAAUUUCCCGAGGUAUCAUUCAUCAUGAGGGAGGGCUCGAGUUCAGGCGCGAGUCCUUUAGUGGUUCCCUUAAUGGUAGUCGGUGGCAUGUCCCUUGUGCGGGAUCACUGUUUGGGUUCGGGUUGUUUCUGCACCUUCUCUCCCUCAGCGGCGGCCCAUUUUGUUUCCACGUGUCAUGCACUGUCCUGAUAUUUUUGUAUCUUGUGUAGUUGCUUCCUCUGUUUGCUCAUGAUGUAAUGGAAGGCCAUCCUUUCUUCUGGGGUGGAGUCCUUGGGUAGGGGCGGCCUUGUUCGACUAGGCACAUGAUGUCUACUACACAACCUUCUUCUUGUAGACGUUGUUGGGCCUGCAAGUGCACAGGUUUGUAGGACAGUAGCAAAUUUCCCUCAAGUGGAUGACCUAAGGUUUAUCAAUCCGUAGGAGGCGUAGGAUGAAGAUGGUCUCUCUCAAACAACCCUGCAACCAAAUAACAAAAAGUCUCUUGUGUCCCCAAAACACCCAAUACAAUGGUAAAUUGUAUAGGUGCACUAGUUCGGCGAAGAGAUGGUAAUACAAAUGCAAAAUAGAUAGUAGAUAUAGGUUUUUGUAAUCUGAAAUAAUAAAAACAGCAAGGUAACGAGUGGUAAAAGUGAGCGUAAACGGUAUUGCAAUGAUAGGAAACAAGGCCUAGGGUUCAUACUUUCACUAGUGCAAGUUCUCUCAACAAUAUUAACAUAGAUAGAACAUAUGACAAGCCCUCAACAUGCAACAAAGAGUCACUCCAAAGCCACUAAUAGCGGAGAACAAACGUAGAGAUUAUGGUCGGGUACGAAACCACCUGAAAGUUAUUCUUUCGGAUCAAUUUAUAAAAGAGUUCGUACUAGAAUAACACCUUAAGAUACAAAUCAACCAAAACCCUAAUGUCACCUAGAUACUCCAUUGUCACCUCAAGUAUCCGUGGGCAUGAUUACACGAUAUGCAUCACACAAUCUCAGAUUCAUCCAACCAACAUAAAAGUACUUCAAAGAGUGCCCCAAAGCUACUACCGGAGAGUCAAGAACGUGUGCCAACCCCUAUGCAUAGGUUCCCAAGUGUCACGAAACCCGCAAGUUGAUCACCAAAACAUACAUCAAGUGGAUCAAUAGAAUAACCCAUUGUCACCACGGUUAUCCCACGCAAGACAUACAUCAAGUGUUCAUAAAAGACUCAAUCCAAUAAAAUAACUUCAAAAGGGGAAACUCAAUUCAUCACAAGAGAGUAGAGGGGGAGAAACAUCAUAAGAUCCAACUACAAUAGCAAAGCUCGGGAUACAUCAAGAUCGUGCCAUAGAGGAACACAAGAGAGAACACGAGAGAGAGAGAUCAAACACAUAGCUACCGGUACAUACCCUCAGCCCCGAGGGUGAACUACUCCCUCCUCAUCAUGGAUAGCGCCGGGAUGAUGAAGAUGGCCUUCGGUGAUGGGAUCCCCCUCCGGCAGAGUGCCGGAACAGGGUCCCGAUUGGUUUUUGGUGGCUACAGAGGCUUGCGGCAGCGGAACUCCCGAUCUAUCUUCUGUUCUGGAAGUUUUAGGGUACAUAGGUAUAUAUGGGUGAAAGGAGAACGUCGGUGGAGCUACGGGGGCCCCACGAGGCAGGGGGGCGCGCCCAGGGGGGAGGGCGCGCCCCCACCCUCGUGAGCACCUCCUGUAUCUUCUGACGUGGGGUCCAAGUCCAUCAGGUGUGUUUCCUUCCAAAAAUAACUUCUCUAGUUGAUUUCGUUCCGUUUUGACUCUGUGUGAUACUCCUUUUCCUCGAAACACUGAAAUAGGCAUAAAAUAGCAAAUCUGGGCUGGGCCUCCGGUUAAUAGGUUAGUCCCAAAAAUAAUAUAAAAGUGAAUAAUAAAGCCCAAUAUUGCCUAAAACAGUAGAUAAAGUAGCAUGGAGCAAUCAAAAAUUAUAGAUACAUUGGAGACGUAUCAAGCAUCCCAAGCUUAAUUCCUGCUCGUCCUUGAGUAGGUAAAUGAUAAAAAAUAAUUUUUGAUGCGGAGUGAUACUUUGGCAUAAUUUCAAUGUAAAUCUUCUUAAUUGUGAUAUGAAUAUUCAGAUCCGAAAGAUUCAAGACAAAAGUUCAUAUUGACACAAAAAUAAUAAUACUUCAAGCAUACUCAUCAAAGCAAUUAUGUCUUCUCAAAAUAACAUGGCAAAAGAAAGUUCAUCCCUACAAAAUCAUAUAGUUAGGCUAUGCUUCAUUUUCAUCACACAAAGAUGUUCCCAACUUCUAUACCCCCGAUGACAAGCCAAGCAAUUGUUUCAUACUUAAAUAAUCUCAAACUUUUUCAACCUUCACGCAAUACAUGAGCGUGAGCCAUGGAUAUAGCACUAUGGGUGGAAUAGAAUAUGAUGAUGGGGAUUGUGUGGAGAAGACAAAAAGGAGAAAGUCUCACAUUGACGAGGCUAAUCAACGGGCUAUGGAGAUGCCCAUCAAUUGAUGUCAACAUGAGGAGUAGGGAUUGCCAUGCAACGGAUGCACUAGAGCUAUGAAUGCUCAACAAAAGAAAACUAGUGGGUGUGCAUCCAACUCGCUUGCUCACGAAGACCUAGGGCAUUUGAGGAAGCCCAUCGUAGGAAUAUACAAGCCAAGUUCUAUAAUGAAAAAUUCCCACUAGUAUACAAAGACAACUUAUGAGACUCACUACAUGAGGAACAAGGUGCUACUUUGAAGCACAAUAUAUGAGACUCACUACAUGAAGAACAAGGUGCUACUUUGAAGCACAAGUGUGGAAAAGAGAUAGUAGCAUUGCCCUUUUUUUUGGGCCUUCCCUUUUUUUUGGCCUUUCAUUUUUUUUAUUUUUUUUGGGCCUUUCCUUUUUUUUGCCUUUCAUUUUUUUUGAUUGGGCAAUGCUCUAAUAAUGAUGAUCAUCACACUUCUAUUGAUUACAACAUAAGGAUUACAACUCAAAACUAGAACAAGAUAUGAUUCUAUAUGAAUGCCUCCGGCGGUGUACUGGGAUGGGGAAAUGAAUCAAGAGUGACAUGUAUGGAAAAUAAUGCAUGGUGGCUUUGCCACAAAUACGAUGUCAACUACAAGAUCAUGCAAUGGCAAUAUGACAAAAGUAAUGUAUGUCAUGAUGAUGAUGGUGGAAGUUGCAUGGCAAUAUAUCUCGGAAUGGCUAUGGAAAUGCCAUGAUAGGUAGGUGUGGUGGCUGUUUUGAGGAAGAUAUAAGGAGGUUUAUGUGUGAUAGAGUGUAUCGUAUCAUGAGGUUUGGAUGCAUCGGUGAAGUUUGCACCAACUCUCAAGGUGAGAAAGGGCAAUGCACGGUACCAAAGAGGCUAGCAAAGGUGGAAAGGUGAGAGUGCGUAUAAUCCAUGGACUCAACAUUAGUCAAAAGAACUCAUAUACUUAUUGCAAAAAUUUAGAAGUCAUCAAAAAUCAAGUACUACGCGCAUGCUCCUAGGGGGAUAGAUUGGUAGGAAAAGACCAUCGCUCGUCCCCGACCGCCACUCAUAAGGAUGCACAAGCCAGGUACACUUCAUGUUUCAAAUUUGUUACAUAACUUUAACCAUACGUGCAUGCUACGGGACUUGCAAACUUCAACACAAGCAUUUCUCAAAUUCACAAUUACUCAACUAGCACGACUUUGAUAUUAUCACCUCCAUAUCUCAAAACAAUUAUCAAGUAUCAAACUUAUCUUAGUAUUCAAUUCACUCAAAAGGAAGUUUCACAUAUCUUGAACACCAAGUAUAUUAACAUUAAGCAAAUUACCAUGCUAUUAAUGACUCUAAAAAUAAUCUAAGUGAAGCAUGAGAGAUCAAUAGUUUCUUUAAAACAAAUCCACCACCGUGCUCUAAAAGAUAUAAGUGAAGCACUAUGAGCAAAACUAUCAAGCUCAAAAGAUAUAAGUGAAGCACAUAGAGUAUUCUAGCAAAUUCCAAUUCAUGUAUGUCUCUCUCUCUCAUUAAAGAAUUUCAGAUCUUGAUACUUUAUUCAAACAGCAAGCAAAGCUAAAAAAAACUACAAUGCAAGGAUAGCACAACUCGUGUGAAGAAGCAAAAACUUAGGCUCAACCGAUACUAACCGAUAGUUGUUGAAGAAGAAAGGUGGGAUGCCUACCGGGGCAUCCCCAAGCUUAGAUGCUUGAGACUUCUUGAAAUAUUAUCUUGGGGUGACUUGGGCAUCCCCAAGCUUGAACUUUUGUGUCUCCUUAAUUCCUCUCAUAUCAUGGUUUCUCUUCCUUUUAUCAAAAGCUUCAUUCACAUCAAACUCAACAAGAACUCGUGAGAUAGGUUAGUAUAAACCAAUGCAAAACCUUAUCAUAUUCUACUGUAACAAAUCACUAACAUUAUUAUUAAACAUUGAAUACUAAAUGCCUCUGUAUAUUUAAUACUCCUAUCAUCAAAUAGAAUCAUUAAACAAGCAAACAUAUGCAAACAAUGCAACCAUAACAGCAAUCUGCCAAAACAGUACAGCCUGUAAAGAAUGCAAGAGUAUCAAUACUUCCGUGACUCCAAAAAUUAUGAACUAAAAUUCCCACUGUAAUAAAUUUAUCAGAGCUCAAUAUUCAAAAAUAUUCAACGUUAGACCAUGCUCUGAUUUUUCUAGGGAAUUUUUGCAACAGCGGUAAACUUUCUGUUUUCAAACAGCAACAUGCAAACUAGCAAAAUAAGCAUGGCAAAGGCUAUCCUUGACUUUUUUAUUGAAACUAAAGAUGCAAAACAUUACUCUAACUAACAGAAAACAAACACUAACAAAAUAAAAUGAUGCUCCAAGCAAAACACAUAUCAUGUGGUGAAUAAAAAUAUAGCUCCAAGUAAAGUUACCGAUGAACGAAGACGAAAGAGGGGAUGCCUUCCGGGGCAUCCCCAAGCUUUAGUUACUUGGUUUUCCUUGAAUAUUACCUUGGGGUGCCUUGGGCAUACCCAAGCUUAGGCUCUUGCCACUACUUAUUCCAUAGUCCAUCGAAUCCUUACCCAAAACUUGAAAACUUCAACCACAAAAAACUCAACACAAAACUCAUAAGCUCCGUUAGUAUAAGAAAAUAAAACCACCACUUAGGUACUGUAAUGAACUCCUUCUAAAUUCAUAUUGGUGUAAUAUCUACUGUACUUCAACUUAUCUAUGGUUCAUACCAUUCAAUACUAGCCAUAGAUGCAUCAAAAUAAGCAAACAACACAUAGAAAACAGAAUCUGUCAAAAACAGAACAGUCUGUAGUAAUCUGUAUCAAACGUAUACUUCUGGAACCCCAAAAAUUAUGAAAUAAAUUUCUGGACCUGACCAAUUUGUCUAUUAAUCAUCUUCAAAAAUAAUCAACCUAAACUCACUCUCCAGUAAAAAAUGGCAGCUAAUCUCGUGAGCGCUAAAGUUUCUGUUUUUCACAGCAAGAUCACAUAAACUUCACCCAAGUCUUCCCAAAGGUUCUACUUGGCACUUUAUUGAAACAAAAGCUAUAAAGAAUGAUUACUAUAGUAGAAUAAUCAUGUGGACACACAAAAACAGUAAGGAUAAAUAUUGGGUCGUCUCCCAACAAGCGCUUUUCUUUAAUGCCUUUUAGCUAGGCAUGAUGAUGAUAAUGAUGCUCACAUAAAAGAUAAAAAUUGAAACAUAACGGGAGCAUCAUGAAGCAUAUGACUAGCACAUUUAAGUCUAACCCACUUCCUAUGCAUAGGGAUUUUGUGAGCAAACAACUUAUUGGAACAAUAAUCAACUAGCAUAGGAUGGCACAACAAGCAUAGCUUCAAGAAUUUAAGCACAUAGAGAGGAAACUUGAUAUUAUUGCAAUUCCUACAAGCAUAUGUUCCUCCCUCAUAAUAAUUUUCAGUAGAAUCAUGAAUGAAUUCAACAAUAUAACCAGCACCUAAAGCAUUCUUUUCAUGAUCUACAAGCAUAGAAAACUUAUUCUUUAUAGCAUACGUAUCAUCACAAUAAUCAUCAUAGCUAGGAGGCAUGCUUUCGUCAUAGUAAAUUUGCUCAUCAAAGCUUGGGGGACAAAAUAUAUCAUAUUCAUCAAACAUAGCUUCCCCAAGCUUGUGGCUUUGCAUAUCAUUAACAUCAUGGAUAUUCAAGGAAUUCAUACUAACAACAUUGCAAUCAUGCUCAUCAUAUAAAAACAUUCUAUAGAUUUCUUCUUCUAGCACUUGAGCACAAUUUUCUUUUCCAUCAUACUCAUGAAAGAUAUUAAAAAGGUGAAGCGUAUGAGAAAAAAUCAACUCCUUUUUUUGUAGUUUUCUUUUAUAAAAUAAACUAGUGCUAAAACAAGAAACAAAAAGAUUCAAUUGCAAGAUCUAAAGAUAUACCUUCACUUACCUAGCCUCCCCGGCAACGGCGCCAGAAAAGAGCUUGAUGUCUACUACACAACCUUCUUGUAGACGUUGUUGGGCCUGCAAGUGCAUAGGUUUGUAGGUCAGUAGCAAAUUUCCCUCAAGUGGAUGACCUAAGGUUUAUCAAUCCGUAGGAGGCGUAGGAUGAAGAUGGUCUCUCUCAAACAACCCUGCAACGAAAUAACAAAAAGUCUCUUGUGUCCCCAACACACCCAAUACAAUGGUAAAUUGUAUAGGUGCACUAGUUCGGAGAAGAGAUGGUAAUACAAGUGCAAAAUAGAUAGUAGAUAUAGGUUUUUGUAAUCUGAAAUAAUAAAAACAGCAAGGUAACGAGUGGUAAAAGUGAGCGUAAACGGUAUUGCAAUGAUAGGAAACAAGGCCUAGGGUUCAUACUUUCACUAGUGCAAGUUCUCUCAACAAUAAUAACAUAGAUAGAACAUAUGACAAGCCCUCAACAUGCAACAAAGAGUCACUCCAAAGCCACUAAUAGCGGAGAACAAACGUAGAGAUUAUGGUCGGGUACGAAACCACCUCAAAGUUAUUCUUUCGGAUCAAUCUAUAAAAGAGUUCGUACAAGAAUAACACCUUAAGAUACAAAUCAACCAAAACCCUAAUGUCACCUAGAUACUCCAUUGUCACCUCAAGUAUCCGUGGGCAUGAUUACACGAUAUGCAUCACACAAUCUCAGAUUCAUCCAACCAACAUAAAAGUACUUCAAAGAGUGCCCCAAAGCUACUACCGGAGAGUCAAGAACGUGUGCCAACCCCUAUGCAUAGGUUCCCAAGUGUCACGAAACCCGCAAGUUGAUCACCAAAACAUACAUCAAGUGGAUCAAUAGAAUAACCCAUUGUCACCACGGUUAUCCCACGCAAGACAUACAUCAAGUGUUCAUAAAAGACUCAAUCCAAUAAAAUAACUUCAAAAGGGGAAACUCAAUUCAUCACAAGAGAGUAGAGGGGGAGAAACAUCAUAAGAUCCAACUACAAUAGCAAAGCUCGGGAUACAUCAAGAUCGUGCCAUAGAGGAACACGAGAGAGAACACGAGAGAGAGAGAGAGAUCAAACACAUAGCUACUGGUACACACCCUCAGCACCGAGGGUGAACUACUCCCUCCUCGUCAUGGAUAGCACCAGGAUGAUGAAGAUGGCCUCCGGUGAUGGGAUCCCCCUCCGGCAGGGUGCCGGAAUAGGGUCCCGAUUGGUUUUUGGUGGCUACAGAGGCUUGCGGCGGUGGAACUCCCGAUCUAUCUUCUGUUCUGGAAGUUUUAGGGUACGUAGGUAUAUAUGGGUGAAAGGAGAACGUCGGUGGAGCUACGGGGGCCCCACGAGGCAGGGGGCGCGCCCAGGGGGGAGGGCGCGCCCCCCACCCUCGUAAGCACCUCCCAUAUCUUCUAACGUGGGGUCCAAGUCCAUCAGGUGUGUUUCCUUCCAAAAAUAACUUCUCCAGUUGAUUUCAUUCCGUUUUGACUCCAUCUGAUAUUCCUUUUCCUCGAAACACUGAAAUAGGCAUAAAACAACAAAUCUGUGCUGGGCCUCCGGUUAAUAGGUUAGUCCCAAAAAUAAUAGAAAACUGAAUAAUAAAGCCCAAUAUUGCCUAAAACAGUAGAUAAAGUAGCAUGGAGCAAUCAAAAAUUAUAGGUACGUUGGAGACGUAUUAGCACAUGACUAGCUCCAUUGUGUCGGCGGAGACGUGCACGGUGGGCUAGCUCUCCUUGCUUGUUCUAUUUUUGGUCGCGUACCCGAAAUUGACGGUUUGGGUGGGCCCAUUGAGUCCAUCCUCAGCGUAGGUCUGGUCGGCUCCUUGUCUUUAGAUGGGGGAGUGUUCGAAGGAUAGCCCUCGAGUUCCUCGGCGUUCCCCUCCUUUCCUUCUUCCGUUGCGUCAGUGAUUUUGUCCAGGUCAGUCGAGCUCUCGUUGCCACUUUCAGACUUCGCUGCAGCGCGACGGGCUCGUUUGACUAUUGCGACCAAGUGGAUGUGGGGGUGGGCGCUUAGAGGGGGAUUUGAUGAUUUGCCCCACUUUGGUAGCCUCUCAGGGGGGUUGCAAAUUAUCAAAUGGAGAAGUAAAGUGGGGAAAAAGAUCCAAUUUUCCGGCGCUUAGAGGGUAGUCGGAGUCAGAUUCACCCCCUCCCUCGCGGUUUGGUCGUGGAGAUAUGAUUUACACGGGUGUUGAUUGUGUAGUCGGUCACUUUGGGACGAGUCGAGUCCUGUAGAUGCAAGACGCCCAUGCGGCUUGCACGGAAGUUCAGGUCGUCCAAUGUAGGAUUGAUGCUCUUGUCGAGGGCGUCGAAAAUCGAGCGCGAUGCCAGCGAGUGCUCAGUGAAUUGACGAACCCGAACUGAUCGAGCCUGCCCUGAUUGGCUAGUAGCAGCCUGAUGUUGAUGAUGCCGAUGAAGUAUCUAUUCCAGGGCCCAGAUUCCCACAGACAGCGCCAAAUGAUGAGGGGUCUCCUCGUCAUAUCCCAUGCUUGAGGGGCUAGGGUAUGUAAUGGAAAAGGUCGGCUUGAAAGGACUCAGAGGGCAUGAUUUACCCACGUUCAGGGCUCUUCAUGGAAGGUGUUGCGACUCAGAUUCAAUUUGGCGCAAGGGUUCCGGUGAGAAUAUUAAUUGUCUUGUCUACGACCCCCUCUUGGCCCUUAUAUAGGGAGCUAGGUCCUGGGAGUUUGUACAAUAGAAGUAUUCAAUCCUAGGUCAGUUCAGGUUUAACUUUUCUUGCAGGGUAAGUUCUUCCUGGGAAAGACUCCAACUUGCACCCGUGACAGGCCUGGGCUUGAGGACCCGUAGAUGGGCCGCACCCGUUAGACACAUCAUGGGGGGUCCUUUGGGUAUUCUCACGUCACUAUUCAAGGUAUAAUGGUUUAUUGAUAAGUAAAUGACAGCAAGCAAUCAUCAUAUGAAGUAAAAGCAAGCUUAAACUUUCCAAUAUUCAUAACAGUAACAGUAUCUUCAAAAUAGUAAAGGAACAAUUACUAUGUACAAUUAAGCAAACUUGUUGCAAGAUAUGCAUGAUUUAUAAGCAAGCUUAUGCAUUUGAGAAUUGUUCCUAACAUUUGGUCAUGGAAUAGAUCUUUCAAGAAACUUUGUGUCUUUGACUCAUAAAGAAGUAGGGAGUCCCUCCACAGAGGGAAGCAGAUAUUAACACAUAUGAAACAAUUAGGCUUCCAAAUCUCAUUACUUACACUCAAUUUAAUAUGUUUCUCUGAUUGUCUGCCCGUUUUUUUAGUACUAAAAAUAUGGCAUGAGAAUGCAUAUAAUUACUCUCGUUUCCAUUGUAUCGUUCACCAUUUAAAAUUAUAGCAUGAGUUUGUUACCUUUUAUCAUAUUGAUAGUUAAAAAAUAUUUUCCCUCACAACCUUAGUGUCAGGACCCCAAUCCUAAGUCACACCGAUCUAGCAUGUAACACAUCAUAUCACUUUGCGGCCUCACGCAUGGUAUUCCCAUGGGUACCACCUAACCUGGCCCGAGACCGUUUGCGCCUCUUGGCUCACGUAUAUGAUAGUGCCGCUAGCAUCCAUAUGACAAAGAACACGGGCCGACAUGACUAGUCGUAAACCCAAGGUGGCGCUAACUUACAGGGACAAGCAUACAUGACCCAACAACGAACGUGUGGAUCAACUACGUAUGAACCCAAGUCGGUAGCAACCUAUAGGGACUUAAAGGAACACCGCGUGACAUUUCCCCGAAGGGACAGACACAAGAACAAAGAAGGACACAUGCCGGCCAACCUAAGUGUUCUGGAGCAGUAGCAAGCUACCAUGGCUCAGUGGAAGCACUAGGAGACAUUUCCCGGUAAGAGAGGCUACCAAGAAUAAACAACUAGGUUGUCGGAUCCCACACAUACCAAGCAUUUCAACUCAUACACACAAUAUGCUCGAUAUGUGCAAAUACAACAUGGCAUCACAACAUAACUCUACGAUUCAAAGUAUUUAUUCAUUAGGCUCCAAGGAGCCAAGUAUUACAAACAUAGGUAUCAUGACCCAACAUUCAGAGCAUACAAACAACGGAAGCAUAACAUGUCUGAGUACAGACAACUACAAAUGAAAAGGGGUUGAGAAGCCUGACUAUCUACAAGACCAUGCCGAGGGCACAAGAUGUCGAUGAGGUAACAAGCUAAACGUCGAAGUCCAUGCGGAACUACUAGCUAGACUGAAGUCUCUCUGCAAAAACACAAAUUAAGCAAACGUGAGUACAAAUGUACCCAGCAAGACUUAUAUCAGAACUAGCUACAUAUGCAUCAUUAUCAACAAAGGGAUGGUGGGGUUUAACUGCAGCAAGCCAGCUUUGACUUGGUGGCUAACCUGAACUACAACUGCAAGUAACUCUUUUGAGGUGGCGCACACGAGUCCACAUAUUCACCAUAUCAAUACACCACUAUGGAUCUGCUCCUGUCUCCCUAAGGGAACGCCAUCCAUAGCUCUCAUGCUUAUCUUGCGCAUUUUAGAGUAUCCACUUUCGCUUGUCUAUGAACUGUAUAGGCAACCCAGAGGUCCUUUACCGCGGACGAGGCUAUUCGAAUAGAUGAUGUUAACCCUGUAGGGGUGUACUUCUCCACACACGCUCUCGCCACUUACCGCCAUGUACACAUCAUGUAUCUCGGCAACCUUCAAGCGGAAGCCUAGCGAGGGUGUUGGCCACGACCUAACUAACCAUAGAAGUCGCUAGUCCAGGUUUAUCGCCUAUUCAGGUUCCAUUCGCAGGGAGUCCGGCCGAGGUUUCCACAUACGGCCCCAAACGAUGUGUGCAGGGUUCCCGCGACACCAAACGGGCGCCCGGUACACCGUGCCAUGUGCCUACCGCAUCACAGCCCACCCCUCGGGUCAGCGCUGCGCACGACCUCCAACAUAUACUACAAACACCAAAAACUACUGGCAACUCCCGGCAGAGGACAUGGGCGGUUAAUAAUUUGAGAGGGUCAAUUAAGGUUCCCAAUGAGUGGUAGUAGCUGUUCAUGGAUCACAAACACAGAAGUCGGUUCCUGAGGACGGCUUCAAUGAGACAACCCACCAUGUACUCCUACAUAGCCUCUCAUCGCUACUUACCAAAUCGUGUCCACACACUUAGUUCACACACAGUAGGACAUGUUCACCACUUUCUAAUUCAUCCCUGAUGAAUCAGACCUGACCCAACUCUAAGCAGUAGCAGGCAUGACAAACACACAUGAAUGAGUAGGCACAUCAGGGCUCAAACAACUCCUACUCAUGCUAGUGGGUUUCAUCUCUUUACUGUAGCAAUGAUAGGUCAUGCAGAGGAAAGGGGUUCAACUACCGCAGCAUGUAAUAGUUGAAUCAUUGUUGUCCUAAUGCAGUAAAAGAGAGAAGGAGUGAGAGAGUGGGAUUGUAUUGAAAUGAACAAAGGGGUUUUUGCUUGCCUGACACUUCUGAAGAUACUAUAGUUCUUCAUCAAUGUCAUUGAUCACAUCGUCGAAACCACAUCUAUCAAGAGGGGACAAUUACCGGCAAACAAGGAAGAACACAAUCAAUGCAAUGCACAAUACGAUGCAUGAUCAUGACAUGGCAAUAUGAGUGUGUUGGGCUAAUGUAACUACAAUCAGAUGGGUUUGGGUCAUUUUGAACCAAAGGUUCAACCCCAAACUCAAACUAUGAAUUUAAAUAGUGCUUUAUCAUGUUUUGCACUAAACAACAAGGUUAAGUUCUUUAAACAUGCAUGAAACCAGUACAGAUGGAUAGAUUGGAUUUUUCUGAUCAUUUUUCAUAUACAAAUCUUUGCAUUUUGAGUUAGAGAUUAAUUUAUAUGUUUUUUAGAAGUUUUGGGCAUUAUCUAGAAUUUCCUAAAUAAGAAUAAAUCAAGAAAAACCUAUUACUACAUCAGCAUUGCGUCAUGCUGACCUUAGCAGGUCAACAGGCGCCGUCCAGGUCAAACCUGACCAGUGGGGCCCACUGGUCAGUGACCAAGUGUUGGCCAGGGUUAAUGGCAAGUGGGCCCAGUCAAUCGACACGCCAGCCUGGUCAAAGCUGACGCGUGGGCCCACUGGGGUUAUGAACUAAUCUAAACAGAGGUUAAACUAAUCUAAACAUGCAUAGGGGUCCACAUGGCAGUGGCUCAGUGGGUGUUUAGUAGGGUCAUUAGCGCUAAUUAAGCGUGCCACGUUAGCACGCCGGAGUUUCAUCGGCGACGACCAAAAACAUGGCGGAAGCACACUGGAGCGGCUCGGGUUUCGCCUAUAGGUCACGGUUUGAGCCGCGGUUGGUCUCUAUGGCUAGCUGGAGCUCGCACGCAUCGGAUGGAGCACACCGGGGAGCUGCGGUGGCCUGUGGUGAUGGCAGAAGCGAGCUAGGCGGCGGCCGGAGUUCGGCCAGAAGCGGGGACACGGCUGCAGUGCUCGGGCGAGCAAGUGGGGUGGCUAGGCAACCUCCUAGAGGCGCCAGGAGCAUGUUAGUGCCCCUGGAGCGAGUAGGAGAGGCUCGGGAUCACAAACUCGCCUGCCAUUGCGGACGGCGGUGCUCGGUUACUCAUGGGCGGCGGUUAGAGGAGGAACGCAUCGACGGGAAGAGUGGUGAGAGGUGCAGGGGCUCAUAGUGAGGUCGACGGGCGUGAGAGCAAGGUCGGGGAUGCACUGAGGACGACGAAUCGACCGCGGCGAUCGCCGGACAGAAACGGCGAUGAAGGCGACGAGGACAACGUUGUGGGGCUCCCACGGUCGCGUGUGUCGAUAGAGAGGAUAGGGCAGACAAUGCAGAGCCUCUGGCCACGGACAGGGGGCGACGGGGUAGCUCUGGGCGCGGCAAUAGCGAGCGGCGGCGACACUUGCUCUCGGACGGAGCUCGGGGAGGAGCUAGAGAGGAGGAGAGAGGCCAUGGAGCGAGGGAGAGGUGAGAGGGGUCACGAUGCGUCCCCAUGGCAUCGCUAGAAGGGCCGGGGAGGGGGGAAGCAGGCAGGGAGGAGGCCAUGGCGACAUUAAGGCUUGCCACCGAGCUGCUUCGGGGCGAGGGGGAGGAAGACGACAGGAGGGGGUGGCCUGGUGGGCUGGGCUAGCCACUUGGGCCGCUAGGUGGGCUGCGACAGGUAAGCCAGGUAAGUUGUUCUCUCUCUUUUAAUUUUCUAUUUUCUAUUUUCUGUAAUGUUAUUAGCUUUAUUGAAAAUAGCAGAACAACCUCAAAAAUCAUGAAACUGCUCAAGGCUACUGUUUGGAAUAUAACCAACAGUAAACAUUUUAGUUUAUGAUUAUUUGGACAUUUAAAAUAUUUUAUAGCAUUUAAAUGCCCAAAUGUAAAUAGAAUAUGAUUUAAUUUAGUGACCCUAGAAAAAUGAGAACCAUUUUUUUCAGAAGUUCUAGACCAAGGCAAAGAUGGUGAACAUUUUAGAAGAGCAUUUUAGGUUCAUUGAAAAAGUAUUUUAGUAACCCUAGUUGAGUUAGGUGGUGCUGGGGGUUUCUGUCAUCCCCAUUUCCAAGUUUCUGAGGAAUUUAAACAUGAUGCAGGGAAGCUUAAGCAGUGAUAGACAAGGCCUAAGCUAGGGUUGUGACAACUCACCCCCACUAAACGAGAAUUUCGUCCCGAGAUUCAAGCGUAGGGUAAGAUGGAAGGGGAACGCUAACUAACACAACCUUCACAAUCCAGUUUGCACUUCAUAAUAACGUUGUUUGGAUCACCAUCUUUGUCUCGAUGUCUUUCUCUAAGAACUCCAACCAACACUACAAAAAAAUGACACACCCGUGACAUUUUGGGCCGAACGAAUUUUUUUCUGUCAUACUUAUGACACUUCUAUGAUGAUAAUUGUGACAAAACCCGGUAUCAUCAUAGAUGUGGUGGGAUCCUACUUCUAUGACAAAAAAUCAUGACAGAAAAUGGGCUUUUCGUCCUGGGUGGGCCGGAGACUUAGCUGCAUGACAUUCUUUGGGACGUCCAUGACGGAAAAAACCGUGGUAGAAGCGAGGGCGAGGAAAAUUUUGGGGAGUUCCCGGUUACGGUGGGUGGUCGGGGGCCGAGCGAUGCGCAUUUCUCUCGCGUGUGUGCGAGGCGUUGGCUCUAACUGAACCCGAGCGAGGCGUUGGGCUCUAACUGAACCCAAGCGAUUGCACUGCAGGCUACACGUUACUGAACCCGAGCGAUCGAUCGAUGGCUGUUAACUGAACCUGAUCAAGCGAUUCCUUCACUACUGCUGCUAACUGAAGCUGAUCGAUGCUGCCUNNNNNNNNNNNNNNNNNNNNNNNNNNNNNNNNNNNNNNNNNNNNNNNNNNNNNNNNNNNNNNNNNNNNNNNNNNNNNNNNNNNNNNNNNNNNNNNNNNNNNNNNNNNNNNNNNNNNNNNNNNNNNNNNNNNNNNNNNNNNNNNNNNNNNNNNNNNNNNNNNNNNNNNNNNNNNNNNNNNNNNNNNNNNNNNNNNNNNNNNNNNNNNNNNNNNNNNNNNNNNNNNNNNNNNNNNNNNNNNNNNNNNNNNNNNNNNNNNGUGGCGUUGCUUCUGGAUGAACAGGACGAUCCCGUGGAGGGCCGGAUGAACAGUAGAUGGUGAAGGGGUGCCCGUGGAGGGGUGGUUGAACAGUAGCCGGUGGAGUAGCGUGCGGUGGAGGAUGGAUGAACAGGAGCCCGUGGAGGCUGGAGGAGGUCGACGGUAGCCCGUGGAGGCUGGAGGAGGUCGACGGUGGAGAUGAACAGUAUCCCGUGGAGUCCCAUUUUGCGGUACACCACACCCCUCCCGAUGAACAGGACCCCCGUUUCGACCAUAGCGCUCCAACACAAGUCCGUUUCGUCCGUUUUGCGGUACGCCACACCCCUCUCGAUCAACAGGACCCCCGUUUCGACCAUAGGAGGUCCGUUUCCUCCGUUUUGCGGUAUGCCAGACCCCUCCCGAUGAACAGGAUCCCAUUUCAAACGUGGCUGGUCGAACACAAGGCCGUUUCCUCCGUUCUGCGGUACGCCAAGCCUCGUUUCCAUCGCCUGUUCCGUACAAGCCCUCCCGAUGAACACGACGAUGCAUUCCGUUCCGACCCAACCGGUUGGCUCCCCAAGAACAUGACGACGAUGUUGUUUCUCCAUUCUGACCCAGCCAUGUAAACGAGCCCUGGCCGUACGUAUGCGCGAGUAGGCGUUCGAGACCCCGCCCGUAUGUACUUGCACUCUGGCUGUUGUACGUACGUGUACACGCUACGUACGCGCCUCUACUACGACACGUGCGCGCCUCUACUAAGACACGUGCGUGCCUCUACAUGGACCAGUAUGUACAUACACGUUCAUGACCAGAAUGACAAUGCUACGUACGCUUUGACCAGGUGGGUCCCGACUGUCAGGCACUUCCUUGCGUGCAAAGAUGUAGCUGGUGGGUCCCAGCAGUCAGGGGCAACAUUUUUUUCACGAAAUAUGGUGGCCUGUCCGGUGGGGCCCUGCUGUCAGGUGGAGGAAUCAUUAUUUUCCGCAUAAUAAGGAGGCACUUCCUUGCUGCGGCAGUGGAUCCAGCUGUCAGCCUCUCCACGUAUAGUCCACGUCCGAUGGAAGUCAUUCCUUGACCACGUUGACCACACCGCGUCGAGAGCACCGGAGCGAUAGAUGAUGGCGAGGCUAGGAAGGGGACGACGCGGAGCCGGGGAAGACGCGGCAGUGGAUGCCCACGCGUAGAGGAGUAUGAGGGUUCACUCGUUCGGCUGCGGUGUGAGGUUGCCAUCGCAGCAGAAUAACAUGGGGUGUGGGUGCAUAGAGGGAUGGCCUGGUCAGUGGUGGGAGUAGUAGGGGGCGGUGAGGCCUCCACGGCAUCACAGCCGGCCACGGGCGGCAGGAGCAUGCGGUGUGGCACCCCGGCUCAGAGCAACGGUUUACCCUGCAUUGCCAGCCCAGAGAUCGAGUCUUCUAGCAAUACACAACAACAUGGUACAGAAAUAACCGCUUUAUUGAUACUAGCAUGGUACAAAGGUCUGAUAUUACAUCGAGAUUCGAGGCCAAGCGGCACACACGGUGCUGCUGGACAGUAUGUACAUUAUUUAAUGAACAUGGCUGGGGCCUCGAUCACACUAAACUACGCGGCAGCGGAAGAACGACGUAGCGGAACUCCAUGGCACAGGGACACCGAUGUGGACACGGCCUAGACACGAGAUGUGCUCCGAUGCGAGUCGAAUUGCCUGAAAGCUGACAUGACACGCCAGGUCAGUACAUUGAAUGUACUUGCAAGCUCACAACAAACAUAAGCACGAUGAAAGACAAUAUCAUGAUAAUUAAUUAAGUUAAAUUAAUGCAAGAAUUUAGUAUGAAUGCAAAGUUAUGCACAGCAACCAAACAGCACACCGAGUCACACGGACUCACUUACCAGACGGUAACCUCGUAACCAAACGGUGACCACACCGGGGUCACACCUGAAACCAAUAACUCAUGAACACCUCAAGUGUUCACUGUUCACCAUGAAACAAUGCAUCACAACAAUUACUAGUUUGCAAGAUUAAUUAUAAAAGUUGAUUCAUGGUGUGACUUACUCCCGAGUCUUGCCCAUAACUGAGGGCGCGACUAUCGACAGAUUAAAUACACUCUUCAGAGGUAGCGCACUUUACCCACACUACGGAACCCUGGCCUCGCACUCCCAUUAGGGUGGACCAAAGCAUUCCGACAAAACCCUUCCUUUGUCAUGCACUCUCCUCGGCCACUCUGACCAACUCCCUCUCAGGGCUAGGUCUUGGGUGGCCCCGUGUCUACCAAAGACACCAACGGCCACCGUCAUAGCAAAACGGUCCCAAACGAGGACAAGGUACCAUAACAACAAAAUGAGCACACAAGGUUAUGUCUGCCUACCGGGCCAGGUUAUGCACGCCCAUAACCUUCCCUCGCGGGAGGCACCGGUGAGAGCCACGACAAAGGACCAAAUCAAGACGUUCCCAUUAGGUAAAUGUGGUUGCACUGAAUUAAAAACCCGAUUCAGCGGCACCAUGAUGUGAUCAACAUCAUAUUCAAGUUGAAAUUAAUCAAGUUUUAACUUUUAGAAAAACUUUUUAUUACUAACAUGAUAUACCCGAAAUGAUCAUGCAACUACUCGUCAUGCAAAUCAAACACCUCAUAAUCAUGGAUCAAACUUCACAACAUAUGCAUCUUGCAAUACUAAGAAUAAAACUUCUCUGGUUAUAACUCAUUAUUAUAAGCAAGUAAUAUUUUUAUUAGUUCAUUAUCUAAAUAAAACCAUUACUAGCAAAAUAACUAUCAUUACUUUCCAUAGCAAAUUUUCAUAGUGCAAAAUAUUAUUCUACUUAGCCAAACAAGUUCAUGCAUUCAACCAGAAGCUAAAACAAGCAUAUGAAGCAUGGUAAAGUAACUAGCAAUUAACCAAAGUUAUUUAUCAAAUUUUAAAUGCAAAUAAAGACUCACAUUCAAGUAGAAAAUCAUAGAUAUUGAAAUAACACCAUCCAAAUGAUGUUGUGGCUUGCCUUAGUGCAGAGGAGGGUCACACUCCUCCUGGUUAGCUUCAAGGCAAGAUCCUCCUUCUGAAAAUAUUUUGAAACCACAAAAAUAAAUGUCAAAACACCUUCUGAAAAUCACCAGAAAUUCUAAGCAGCAAGGAAAAACCCACCUUUUGGUGUGCUUCUAGAGCUUUCUGUAACAAAGACAAUGCAAAAAGAAUCAAUUCAUUUGGACUUGUGGUUUAAAAGUUAUGGCUGGUGAAAGUUUGGUCAAAUUUCUAAAUAAAUUUGAAUUAAACAGAAAUUCCAGGGGGGGGGGGUGAUGUCGAAGGCGUAAUGUGGAAGUGCGCCUCCACUCGUACUACUUCGGGCGCGAGUGGUGAGGCUGACACUGGGCCCCAACAGCCAGGAGAGAGAGAGAGGGGGAUCGAGAUCAGAGGGGGGCGGUGCUUCGCUGGAGCUUACGCUGGCGACGAGGGGCUUUGGGGCUAGGCUAGAGGGAUAGAUUGGAAGCAGGGCUCGUGGCACACCUGCGUGUACCCGUGGCUUGGCGAGAGGUGGACGGAGCUGGUCGCAGUCGAGCUCGCAAGCUUCGGUGGCGGGCAGGGUUCGCCGGAGAGGAAGAAGACAACGGCGAGAGGCAGCUCCGAGGGCUUGGCGGGGUCCAGGCAGCUCCAGCAGAACACCAAGGCCCUGCCCAAGCAGCUACUUGAGCUCGAGAGGCCCUGGAGAGCAGCGACUGGCCUGCAGGGAUUGCCGUAGUCCUCGGGUCGGGGCGACGGCCAGAGGCCUGCCCGACCAAGUUGUGGUCAUUCUACGUGUUCGUGGUGAUGGCGUGGAGUGCUGCAUGGCCAGGAUUCGAGUUGAGGGUGGCUUAUAUAGCUGGAGCAGGAGGGGGGAACGUGUCGCCGCGGGAGUGCUCUGGACACGUGGCGAACAUCGACGAGAGGCUCCAAUGCGAGGGGACAAGGUGCAGAGUCAACGCCGGCGCUUGCCCACGCUCGCGGACGAGCACAGGAGGCGGUUCGAGAAGGGGACAAGCACGCGUGCGCACUAUGCCGUUUUGGCUCAACUGGAUUGGCGUGCUGUGGCGGCUCCGGCAUCGACGAGCGCCAGGGAGGGGUCAAGGGUGAUGGGUCGAUGGUUGUGGCGCGGUGCGGCAGUCGACGGCGAGCGCUGGAACGUGCACACGCGAAACAGAGCGCAAGGCGCCAGCCAGAGCGUGUCGAGACGCAUGCCAGGCACCGUGUCCACGCGUGGUCACCAGGCUGGCAUGGUCAAAACAACGCCCAGGAGCUUCCAAACCUUGUCUACACUCUCGACCAUGCAUUGUAUAGUCUAGGGGAGGUGAUGGAUCAUGCCCAGGUUGACCAGAAGUGACUGCACCUUGCUGACAAGUUUCUGGUCAGAAACUUGGUCGGCAAGUUUGGCCACCUUCUAGAAGGCCAUUAGGGCUACUCUCCUAGGGUUUAGGGUUUCUUAGGAGGGUGUUUAAGCUCAAGAAAGCUCAAGGCUAAAAGCUUAAGGAAAAAUGCACUUGCUGUACAAAGUGCAUUUCUGGUCUAGUAGUGAAAAGAUUUUCUACAGCAAAAAUAUUACAAAAAGUGAUGCAAUAUUUUUGCAUGGGGAGAUGUGCCAUGGUCCUAAGAAUAUUUAGGAAUUAUGUCAGGUUUUUCUGGGCAAGAAAAAUUGAGGUUUCUUUGGAGCACAAAGUUCUGAAAUGAACUUAAGAGAGAAAAAUGAGUAUUUUCCUUUUAGGAAAAAUAUUCAUUUUAUUAUUUUGGGGAUUUGUGGGAGGAAUAAGAUAGAUAGUUCACUUGGGUGAAAGCCAAGGAUAUGCCCAAGUGACAAGUCCAUUUGAAUUGAUCCAAAACCCAAAUCAAAUCAGGGCAAAAACCAUGAUGAAAACCAAGUCCGGAAAGAGAGAGAAGGCAUGUCCGGUAAAAAAGAGAGAAGGCAAAAUCCAGGCUGUCACAAACCUCCCCCACUUAGUAUGAAUCUCGUCCUCGAGAUUCAGUUGCUUGGGAAAACCAUUCUGGGUAUGCAGUCCUUAAAAAUUCCCCUCUUUCCUGGGUUGCUUCUUCUUCGGUGUGAUGCUCCCACUGAACCUUGUAAAACCUUAUCUCUUUGCUGCGAGUGACCCUUUCUGUCUGAUUCAAUAUUCUGAUUGGCUUUUCCUCAUAAGUCAAAUCCUUAGCCAAUUCUAUCUCUGACAUACCAGUCUUUCCUUUGGUGGUGAGAUGCAUCUUCUUAGCUGUGAGAUGUGAAACACAUUGUGUACUUCUGACAAUUCUGGUGGCAACUCCAACUGGUAGGCAACGGUUCCGAGUCUGGCCAUGACGGGGAAUGGACCGAUAUAUCUGGGUGCCAAUUUUCCUCGAGUCUGAAACCUCUUGACUCCUUUCAUCAGGGUGACUCGGAGAUAUACAUGUUCUCCGGGUUCGAAGCUGAUCUGACGAUGUUUGGCAUCAUAGUAGCUCUUCUGUCGGGAUUUGGCCAGUUGCAGUCUGUCUCGGAUUUCCUUGACUUGCUUCUCGGCCUCGAGCAUUAAAUCAGUCCCGAAAUAUGGCUAUCUCCGGUUUGAGACCAAUUUAAUGGAGUGCAGCAUUUCUGGCCAUACAGGGCUUCAUAGGGUGACAUCUUUAGGCUGGCCUGGAAACUGUUGUUGUAGGAAAACUCGGCGUAGGGCAGACAGUCUUCCCACUUGGUUCCUUGGGCCAAUGUACAUGCCCGGAGCAUAUCCUUGAGUAUUUUAUUUACUCGCUCAGUCUGUCCAUCUGUUUGAGUAUGGUAAGCCGAGCUGUACUUCAGAGCGAUCCCCAAGGCUUGAUGAAGUCGAGACCAAAAUGCGGAUGUGAAUAGAGAUCCCCUGUCGGAGGUGAUAGUCUUGGGUACUCCAUGCAGACUGACGAUUCUUGAUACAUACAGCUGUGCAAGCUGAUUUGCACGAUAUGUGGUCCGGAUAGGGAGGAAGUGUGCCACCUUGGUUAGAGUGUCCACUAUGACCCAUAUCAUGUCGUUUCCUUGAUGAGAUCUUGGUAAUCCGGUGAUGAAAUCCAUGCAAAUAUCGUCCCAUUUCCAUUGGGAUACCGACAGAGGCUGGAGGAGUCCGGCGGGUUUUUGGUGUUCUGCCUUUACCUUAUUGCAAACAUCACAGCAGGCCACAAAAUACGUGAUGUCUUUCUUCAUUCCAUCCCACCAAAAUAUCUGACGAAGAUCAUCAUACAUCUUGGUACCACUGGGAUGAAUUGAGUAUGGUGCUUCAUGUGCUUCCGCCAAUGUUUUCUUCUUCAGACUAUCUUGCUUGGGUACGCAAAGUCUUCCUCGGAACCUUAACGAACCUUGUUGAUCCAUAGAGAAAUCAGUUGCUUGCCCUUGAUGCAGUUUCUGAACAUAUGCUCGUAACACCUUAUCAUCCGCUUGAGCUCUGCAGGUUUCUUCCUCGAGAGUAGGAGAAACUUCCAAUAUAUUGGUAAGAUGGGCGUCGGUGAUUACCAGAUCCAGCUGCAUGAUUUCUUCAUGGAGCUCUGGAGGCAAGGAAUCUAUUAGGGCAUUGAGGUUGGCUGGUUUGCGGCUGAGGGCGUCAGCCACCACAUUUGCUUUGCCCGAGUGAUAAUUUAUUCCGAGGUCAUAGUCCUUAACCAACUUGAGCCAUCUUUGCCGUCGAAGGUUCAAGUCGGGCUGAGUGAAUAUAUACUUGAGACUUUUAUGGUCGGUGAAUAUCUGGCACUUCUUCCUAAUCAGAUAAUGUCUCCAGAUCUUUAAAGCGUGCACCACUGUGGCUAAUUCCAAAUCAUGAGUAGGAUAAUUUCCUUCGUGUUGUCACAGUUGGCGAGAUGGAUAGGCCACCACUUUGCCAUCUUGCAUGAGUACACACCCCAAUCCUUUUCUGGAGGCGUCGUAGUAAACAUCAAAACUGCGGUAGAUAUCUAGAAGAGUUAAUACGGGUGCCGAUGUCAGUCUGGUUUUUAACUCAUUGAAGCUCCGUUCGCAGUCUUCAGUCCACACGAACUUCUUGUCCUUCUUGAAGAGCUCAGUCAUAGGCUUGGCGAUCUUGGAAAACCCUUUGAUAAAACGAUGAUAAUAUCCAGCCAGUCCAAGGAAUCUCCAGAUUUCUGAGACGGUGGUGGGUGCGGACCAAUCAAGUACAUCUUUCACCUUGCUUGGGUCCACUAAGAUUCCUUCUACGGAGAGGAUAUGUCCGAGGAAUCCCACUUGCUGGAGCCAAAACUCACAUUUGCUGAAUUUGGCAUACAAUUGAUGGUCGCGAAGUCAUUGCAGAACUGCGCGAAGAUGCUCCUUAUGUUUGUCCUUGCUUUUGGAGUAAAUGAGGAUGUCAUCAAUGAACACCACCACAAACUUGUCCAAGAAGUCCAUAAACACCUUGUUCAUCAUAUGCUUAAAGAAUGCAGGAGUGUUGGUGAGGCCGAAGGUCAUAACCAUGUAUUCGUAAAGACUGUACCGAGUGGUGAACGCGGUCUUAGGAAUAUCUUCCUUCUUAAUCUUGAGUUGAUGAUAUCCCGUCCUCAAAUCAAUCUUUCAGAAUAAUUUGGCCCCACUGAGUUGAUCAAACAGAGCAUCAAUCCUCGGUAGUGGAUACUUGUUUUUAAUGGUUACGUCAUUUAGCUGUCGGUAGUCUACACAAAUUCAUAGACUGCCAUCCUUUUUGUCCAUGAAGAUUGCUGGUGAUCCCCAUGGUGAAGAGCUGGGACGAAUGUAUCCUUUUUGCAGCAUCUCAUCCAGUUGCUUCUUCAAUUCCACCAUAUCUGAGGAGGGCAUCCGAUAAUAUUUCUUAUGUAUCAGGGUGGUUCGAAGCACCAGGUCAAUAGCAAACUCCAAUUCCCGGUCUGGUGGCAUGCCGGGUAAUUCUUCAGGAAAUACAUCUGGAUACUCGCUGACCACUGGAAUUAAUUCCACCUCUUCUGCCACGGCUGCGAAAACCAUAUCCUUCGAGGGGAUGCGAUUGCGGGCAUAAAAACUUGUGGUGCGACCUUCCAUAUUUUUCAGGGUAACUUCUUGGGUCGCACAGCUGAUGCAGACUUGGUAUUGGGUUAACCAAUUUAUGCCCAGAAUGACAUCCAAUUUGUUGGAAUCGAUGAUUAUCAAUGAUGUUGGAAACUUGAUGCCCUUGAUGUCAAUCUCCAAAUUUUGGCAGACGAGAUUGCUUCUGAGUAUGGAUCCCGGGGAUUGUACCAGCAUGUGCUUUCCCAAAAUCAAGCAAGGAAAAUUGUUUUGGGAAGCAAAACUCCGUGAAAUGAAAGAGUGGGAAGCCCCAGAGUCAAAUAAAAUUACUGCGGGUAUGUCAUUAACAGGAAACAUACCAAUGACGACUUACGGGUCCUCUUGGGCUUUGUCUACGGAGAUGUGAUGAACUUGCCCUUGAAUUACAUCGGGGGCAGAAUACUGCUCCAUGUAGUUAACUUGCGGCUGGAAUGGAGCGACGUGCUUGGUGUUCUUGGGACACUGUCGGGCGUAGUGUCCGGUUUAACCACAGCUGAAGCACGAACUGUUGCGCUGGCAAUCGUCGCGCACCGGGCUGGUCACGACAUUCUUGACUUGUGUAGUUGUCUUGUUGACGUUCUGCUGCCAAUUGGGUUUGUACUCCACCCGAGUCUGUUGCCAUGUACGAGCCUUUUGCACUGGUUGCAUAUCCUUCUUGGGCUCGAAUUUGCGCUUGUGGUCAUUAGCAGCUGGCUUGUUGUCAUGCAUAAGCUUGUGUUCCCUCUAGGCAAUUAGGGCCUAGUUCACCAGAGUCAGGAAGUCUGGGAAAUCAAACAAACUGAGAGUGCACCAGAUAUGUUGAUGUAGACCUCCAAGAAAUUGGUUGAUCUUCCGCUCCUCGGUGGCCACAUCGUGGAGAGAGUAGCGGGCCAGAUGGUUGAAUUUGUUCAGAUACUCGGCGACGGUCAUGCUGCCUUGAGUGAGGGCGGGAAAUUCGCAUUGCUUGUUCUUCAUGACUCCGGUGGGAAUAUGAUAUUUGCGGAAAUGAUCCUUGAAUUUUGUCCAAGUAAUUUCCUCGUCGGCAGGCCUUAUUGCUUUGGCAUUAUCCCACCAUAUAGCGGGAGCUCCUUCGAGAUAAUGCGUUGCGAAGGUAACCUUGUCUCCAUCGUCUGUGCGAGCAAUCUCCAGUUUUCUUUCAAUAGUCCUUAGCCAGUCAUCGGCGUCUAGAGGAUCAGUAGCAUGGCUGAAACUGGGAGGCUUGGUUCGCUGAAAAUCUGAUAGCUUGGAAUGAUGGCCAUUCUGGUUUCCAUUCUGCCCAACCAAAACUUGUACACUUUUCAGUAUUUCCAGCAGAUCGUUGCUCCUUCUUUCUUCAAACAUUCGCAGGAUUUGCUCGGUGGAAGGCGGUUUUGGCGGUGGAGGCGGAGGUGGCUGGUAUGGCUCAGGGGAAUGUCCUGCCUAUCUUGCGGAACAACGGACAGGGACAUCCUCACCAGCUUGACUGUUGCUGCCUCCACGCGGCAUCCUAUUUUUCGUUUUCCCAGUACAUAGCAACCAUGAGGAGAAAAUUCCAAAAUGGGGGAAAACCAAUGACAAAUCCCAGAAGAAAGCAGUGAAUAAAACCAAGUCAAAAAGAAGUCCAACAUAAUUAUACAUAGUCCCAACAUGAAAAUAAACAUCGCAAUGGGUCUACUACCCGCGUACAUGAAACUACACAUCCUGACAAAUGCGAUUACAGCCAUACAUCAAGUUCAUGACUACCAUGAUACUCUAACGAUCUACUGCUCGAAUGUUGCUGCUGCAGGCUCGUCUCCUGAGCCGGACCCAGAUCCUGAACUGAUAGUAGAGACCUCCGGGAGAAGAGAGGUGCGCUGGCGCCGCCUUGAGGGCUCUCCCUGAGAGGCAGGCGGGGGAUGGGAUCUAAGCAUAGGAGCGGCAGGAGUAGUGACAAGAGAAGACCAUGCAGCAGGAGUGUUGCGAGGGUUCACCAUCAAAGGGUUAACGGUACCCUGCGAGGUCAUCAUAGGAACAGAGGUGGGAGGAGCAGAAGUGUAGAUGACAGCGGGAAGGGGGUUCCCUAUACAAGCAGCAGCGAGAGCGGCGCGAGCGCGUGAGAGCUCCUGAGCUAACUCGUAGUUAAGGAGAUAGCUAGCGGUGAUGUAGCUCGCAAGGUGGCUAGUGGGACGAUCGCACGCCGGGUUAAUCAAAGGAAAGCGGAUACGCCCAUUCUCGUGCAGAGAUGGGUAGAAGAAAAGUCCAGGGUGGGUGUGCAUGCGAACCUCAUUGUAGCGCAACUCUACAAGAGCCUCGAUAGCAGCAAACUGAACUGCCUGAGAUGGCGUAGAAGCAAGACCACCCUUAGACGAACGAGUGUAAGUGCUGGAUGGGGAACUAUGGUGUAGAGUGACCUCAGCAUAAUACUCAUACAAUGCACCGGCAAGAUGCUCGCGAUACACCCGAUACUCUGGAUCAGCACCCUGUGGAUAGAGUCGUCACCACACGUUCUGAAGCAGGUGCAGCGAUGUGCACGGAGCUGGCUCAGGAUGGUACAAGAUUGGUACUGGUGCCAUCUACACUCACAAAUCACACGGUUAGUAAUAACAACAAUAAGUCAUGCAUGCAAUGCAACAACCAAUUCCUAUGUCUACCAGCACUCAAAUGAAACUAUCUACCGUUUUACUAACGCACUACCGGUCUAGCGUGUCCUACAAUUAGCGCAACUCUGAUACCAAGCGUUGUGGCACCCCGACUCAGAGCAACCGGUUUACCCUGCAUUUCCAGCCUAGAGAUUGAGUCUUCUGGCAAUACACAACAACAUGGUACAGAAAUAACCACUUUAUUGAUACUAGCGUGGUGCAAAGGUCUUAUAUUACAUCGAGAUUCGAGGCCAAGCGGCACACACGGUGCUGCUGGACAGUAUGUACAUUAUUUAAUGAACAUGGCUGGGGCCUCAAUCACUCGAAACUAUGUGGCAGCGGAAGAACGACAUAGCGGAAGUCCAUGGCAUAGGGACACCGAUGUGGACACGGCCUAGACACGAGAUGCGCUUCGAUGCGAAUCGAAUUGCCUGAAAGCUGGCAUGACACGCCAGGUCAGUACAUUGAAUGUACUUGCAAGCUCACAACAAAUAUAAGCACGAUAACAGACAAUAUCAUGAUAAUUAAUAAAGUUAAAUUAAUGCAAGAAUUUACUACGAAUGCAAAGUUAUGCACAACAACCAAACGACACACUGAGUCACACGGACUCGCUUACCAGACGGUUACCUCGUAACCAAACGGUGACCACACUGGGGUCACACCUGAAACCAAUCACUCAUGAACACCUCGAGUGUUCAUGGUUCACCAUGAAACAAUGCAUCACAACAAUUACUAGUUUGCAAGAUUAAUUAUAAAAGUUGAUCCAUGGUGUGACUUAGUCCUGAGUCUUGCCCAUAACCAAGGGCGCGACUAUCGAUAGAUUAAAUACACUCUUCAGAGGUAGCGCACUUUACCCACACUACGAAACCCUGGCCUCGCACUCCCAUUCAGGUGGACCAAAGCAUUCCGACAAAACCCUUCCUUUGUCAUGCACUCUCCCCGGCCACUCCGACCAACUCCCUCUCAGGGAUAGGUCUUGGGUGGCCCCGUGUCUACCAAAGACAUCAACGGCCACCGUCGUGGAAAAACGGUCCCAAACGGGGACAAGGUACCAUAACAACAAAACGAGCACACAAGGUUAUGUCUUCCUACCGGGCCAGGGUAUGCACGCCCAUAACCUUCCCUCGCGGGAGGCCCUGAUGAGAGCCAUGACAACGGACCGAAUCAAGACCUUCCCAUUAGGUAAAUGUGGUCGCACUGAAUUAAAAACCCAAUUCAGUGGCACCAUGAUGUGAUCAACAUUAUUCAAGUUGAACUUAAUCAAGUUUUAAAUUUUAGAAAAACUUUUUAUUACUAACAUGAUAUACCCGAAAUGAUCAUGCAACUACUCGUCAUGCAAAUCAAACACCUCAUAAUCAUGGAUCAAACUUCACAACAUAUGCAUCUUGCAAUACUAAGAAUCAAACUUCUCUGGUUAUAACUCAUUAUUAUAAGCAAGUAAUAUUUUUAUUAGUUCAUUAUCUAAAUAAAACCAUUACUAGAAAAAUAACUAUCAUUACUUUCCAUAGCAAAUUUUCAUAGUGCAAAAUAUUAUUCUACUUAGCCAAACAAGUUCAUGCAUUCAACCAGAAGCUAAAACAAGCAUAUGAAGCAUGGUAAAGUAACUAGCAAUUAACCAAAGUUAUUUAUCAAAUUUUAAAUGCAAAUAAAGACUCAUAUUCAAGUAGAAAAUCAUAGAUAUUGAAAUAACACCAUCCAAAUGAUGUUGUGGCUUGCCUUAGUGCAGAGGAGGGUCACACUCCUCCUGGUUAGCUUCAAGGCAAGAUCCUCCUUCCGAAAAUAUUUUAAAACCACAAAAAUAAAUGUCAAAACACCUUCUGAAAAUCACCAGAAAUUCUAGGCAGCAAGGAAAAAUCCACCUUUUGGUGUGCUGCUAGAGCUUUCUGUAACAAAGACAAUGCAAAAAGAAUCAAUUCAUUUGGACUUGUGGCUUAAAAGUUAUGGCUGGUCAAAGUUUGGUCAAAUUUCUGAAUAAAUUUGAAUUAAACAGAAAUUCCAGGGGGGGGGGUGACGUCAAAGGCGUAAAGUGGAAGUGCGCCUCCACUCGUACCGCUUCGGGCGCGAGUGGUGAGGCUGACACUGGGCCCCACCAGCCAGGAGAGAGAGAGGGGGAUCGAGAUCAGAGGGGGGGGGGCGCUUCGCCGGAGCUUACACCGACGACGAGGGGGUUUGGGGCUAGGCUAGAGGGAUAGAUUGGAAGCGGGGCUCACGACGCACCUGCCUGUACCCGUGGCUUGGUGAGAGGUGGACGGAGCUGGUCGCAGUCGAGCUCGCAAGCUUCGGUGGCGGGCGGGGUUCGCCGGAGUGGAAGAAGACGGCGGCGAGAGGCAGCUCUCAGGGCUUGGCGAGGUCCAGGCAGCUCCAGCAGAACACCAAGGCCCUGCCCAAGCAGCUACUUGAGCUCGAGAGGCCCUGGAGAGCGGCCGCUGGCCUGCGGGGAUCGCUAGAGUCCUUGGGUCAGGGCGACGGCCAGAGGCCUGCCCGACCAAGCUGCGGUCGUUCUACGUGUUUGUGGUGAUGGUGUGGAGUGGUGCGUGGCCAGGAUUCGAGUCGAGGGUGGCUUAUAUAGCCGGAGCAAGGGGAACGUGUCGCUGCCGAAGCGCUCUGGACACACGGCGAACAUCGACGAGAGGCUCCAAUGCGAGGGGACAAGGUGCAGCGUCAACGCCGGCGCUUGCCCACGUUUGCGGACGAGCACAGGAGGUUGUUCGAGAAGGGGACAAGCACAUGCACUCACUGUGCCAUUUUGGCCGCGACUGGACUGGCAUGCUGCGGCGGCUCCGGCGUCAGCGAGCACCAGGGAGGGGUCAAGGGUGAUGGGUCGAUGGUUGUGGUGCGGUGUGGCAGUCGGGGGUGAGCACUGGAACAUGCAUGCGUGAAACAGAGCGCAAGGCGCCAGCCAGAGCGCGUCGAGACGCAUGCCAGGCACCGUGUCCAUGCAUGGUCACCAGGCUGGCAUGGUCAAAACGACACCCAGGAGCUUCCAAACCUUGUCUACACUCUCGACCGUGCAGUGUUUAGCCUAGGGGAGGUGAUGGAUCAUGCCCAGGUCGACCAGAAGUGACUCCACCUUGCUGACAAGUUUCUGGUCAGAAACUUGGUUGCCAAGUUUGGCCACUUUCUAGAAGGCCAUUAGGGCUAAUCUCCUGGGGUUUAGGGUUUCUUAGGAGGGUGUUUAAGCUCAAGAAAGCUCAAGGCUAAAAGCUUAAGGAAAAAUGCACUUGCUGUACAAAGUGCAUUUCUGGUCCAGAAGCGAAAAUAUUUUCUAUAGCAAAAAUAUUACAAAAAGUGAUGCAAUAUUUUGCAUGGGGAGAUGUGCCAUGGUCCUAAGAAUAUUUAGGAAUUAUCUCAGAUUUUUCUGAGAAAGAAAAAUUGAGGUUGCUUUGGAGCACAAAGUUCUGAAAUGAACUUAAGAGAGAAAAAUGAAUAUUUUCCUUUUAGAAAAAAUAUUCAUUUUAUUAUUUUGAGGAUUUGUGGGAGGAAUAAGAUAGAUAGGUCACUUGGGUGAAAGCCAAGGAUAUGCCCAAGUGACAAGUCCAUUUUAAUUGAUCCAAAACCCAAAUCAAAGCAGGGCAAAAACCACGAUGAAAACCAAGUCCGGAAAGAGAGAGAAGGCAAGUCCGGUAAAAAAGAGAGAAGGCAAAAUCCAGGCUGUCACAUGCGGGAUGACCGGCGCUGCUUUGGGCGGCUGGAGCAAGAAGACCAGAGGUUGAAGAAGCACUACGGCCGUUGGAUGGACAUCGUACGGUCACUGGAGCUAGAGUCGUUCAUAUAUUGACUAAAGUUGACAAAGGCCUCCAUCCCAGUCAACUUAGUAGGCCCACAAGUCAGCCUCCCACCAAGGUGGGUCCCAUCUAGCAAGGGGUAUUCAUUUUUUGGUGCGUAAUAAGGAGGCACUUCCGGUGGGUCCGAGUUGACUGUAGGGGGAACGUUUUUUUCGCGAAAUACGGUGGCCUGUGGGUCCCAGCAGUCAGGGGGAAACAUUUUUUCGCAAAAUACUAGUGGCCCUUUCGGUUGGUCCCUGCUGUCAGGUGGAGGAAUAAUUAUUUUCCGCAUAAUAAGGAGGCACUUCCUUGCAGCUGCCGUGGACCCAGCUGUCAGCCUCUACACGUACAGUACUCUUCCGAUGGAAGUCGGUCGUUGACCACAUUGAUCACGCCGCGCCGAAAGCACCAUGCCGGUGGACGACGGCGAGGCCUGGGAAGGGGACGAUGCGGAGCCGGGGAAGACACGGCAGUGGAAGCCCGCGCGGAGAGGAGUACAAGGGUUCACCGGUUCGGCUGUAGUGUGAGGCUGCUGUCACCGCAGAAUAACAGGGGGUGUGGGUGAGUAGAGGGAUGCCCUGGCAAGCGGUGGGAGUAGUAGGGGGCGCUGAGGCCUGCGCGACAGCAUAGCCGGUCACGGGAGGCGGGAGCAGGUGGUCCCGCCGGCGCUGCUUUGGCGGCUGGAGCAAGAAGAUCAGAGAUUGAAGAAACACGAGCCGUUGGAUUGACAUCCAACGGUUACGUCUGCUAGAAUCGUUUGUUGACGUAUAUAAUAACUAAAAAAAUCUUGCAUACGUGUCAACUAAACAGGCCCACAAGUCAGAACACUCCCUCUUUUUUUAAUAAUUUAUAUAUAGCUCAUGGCAACUUCUUAUGCAAUUUAUCACAGUCGUUUUUUGGUUGGCCAGGGCCAAUUUCGCAGAUUUCUGUGGGUUCCAAACUAUUUUUAAUACCGAAAUGUCGAGCCAGAUUUAAAGUACUUUGAAGAUAUUUUCAAAUUAGGUUAAUGCCCAGUGAAAUAGGAAUCUGAAAAUGUGAAAAAAAUUAGAAAUUAUAAAGUAAUUGCCAAUUUGUCAUCCGUUUUUAUAUUUACAACCCAUUUCAUAUUACUUUCAAGAUUUGCAGGCGUCUGGAAAGAGUUGCAGCCCAUCAGGGCGUAGAAAAAUAAGUAGGCUUGGAUUGGGUAUUCUUUAGAAAAAAUAAACUAGGCUCAUUUUCACAAAGAAAAAAUAGCUGGGCUGGUCACAUGGUGAACAUAAAAUAUAAGCCUGGGCUAGACGGGCCACAACCCAGUUCAAACCCUGCUCCGUCUCAACGAUAACAAAAAAAACUGCUCAAGCAGCUACGUCCCAGGUGUCAGCCGAUCUUGUGCUGUUCUCUUGUCUAUUGACUAUAUACGCUCACAAUGUCGUGGGUCCCAGAUGUCAGGAAAACACUAGGAGGAAGCAUUUUAUUUUUCCAUACACUGACGUGGUGGGCCCCUACUGUCAUCCUCUCCACGUACUUCUGCCGAUUCCUAUUGUUUGUUGACCAUGUUGACAACACGAGAGGGCGGCGCCGCGGCGAGUGCACCAAAGCACGCGGAGGACGUCGGCGUUAACGAUUUAGGAGACUGUGGGGUGGCGAUACGUGUGCUGAGGCGCAGCCAGCCGUGGGAGGCGGAAGCAGGCGGCCCUGCCGGCUGUGAUUUGGUUUUGGCGGCUGGAGGAAGACAUGACUGAAGAAACAUGACACACUAUAAAAGCAAAAGGAGUACUUAACAACCUUAACUGAAACCAGCAAGGGCACUUAACAACCAAAGCUGAAAGCAGUAUGAGUACUUAUACAGGUUCGAUCGUACAAAGCACGCCUCGAACAGUGCUACUUUGCCUACAGUUAACCAAGGGUGAGGCCGCCAAGCCCCAGGACAAGGCCCAGGCGCCACCCCGCGCAUCCACAACCUUCUGAAAGCGGCUUCAUCUCGCAAUGUGGUCAAUAAAUAGGAUAUUCGCUUUAGAGCCAUGGAAAAGCAUGAACAUAAUCUUCUGUCCUAUUCUCCAAGAUGGACGGGCCUUCAUUAUUUGAGACCACCCAUGAAUAAGUAUCUUUUCACCUCCAAGGGGAAUUGAGUAGGUCAACAUAAACAUCAUGUUGUGACCAAGCGCAAAUCUGACCCGACCAUGGUAAUGCAUCUAUAUAGGAACAAUAGAACUGGGCAGUUUCUGUUUUAAGAAGAUCACAGUUGUAAAACUGUGUAUAAGCAAUAGUUUAUGAACAACAUACAUAACAGAAAAUAGCUCGAACCAUAAGUUUCUCGACACAGUUAGACCUGUUCAACGAGUGCAGCAGUGGCACACAUAUCCCACGUGGCCUUCCACCAUUGAAACGCCCCACAAGGACCUCAAGACGAUCAAUAAAGUGUAGGAACUUGUGGAUGUUGACCCAGGCAACUUCAGUGCCAUCAGUAACAGCCGAGUUAUUAUAGAAUAACAACGAGCAGCCUACUUAACUCUGAAAAAACCUACACGUGCCACCAUUUAUAAGAAAACAUUAGUUAGAAGUUGCAUCUUCGUGAGAGAUUCGUUGCUACUUCUAAAGUUAAAUUGUGAUUAGUUAGACAGAAUAGGUGGAUUAAGAAGUAAUCGAGGCAACAAGCAAGAACCAGAUACAACAUGGAUGAACAAUUGGAACGACGUUGGGGUGGAAGAUUGCAGUGAAGAUGAGACCAGGUUCUGCUAUUUCCAUCAACAUUCGUGCACCAACUUUCAGUCCGUAACACUUGAGAUAGUUUAUCCAAGUUCGGCCAUAAAAAACAGCGAUCUUCUUGGUUCAUGAACCCAAUCCAGAACUUAUAUCCAUGGCUUGUCUUCACUGUGACCAUUAAACUUGUGUAUUCAGUUAUGGCAAGGCCGAACAUCUUUAGUACAUGUGUUCUGGCAGAGCAAAUAAUACACUGCAGGAAAAAUAAUAUGAGAACACAAUGUAUUACCUAUCCAAAUCUAGAAAUAACUUCCUCCUUCACGUCAGUGUGGAUCAUCGUACUAGUAGUACCUUUUAUCCAAAUAUAGCAAUCCAAAUUUCCAAAUUAGUCGACAACAUGUUCAAAAAAACCCCACCCUCCCGGAUAAAAAAGAGGAUUCUAGGAACAUACUGUGCGUGUUUCAAAAUCCCGUGUUAGGAUGAGAAGGAACAAGUGUGGCGUCUCGCCGAGGGCGUAGAAACCUGUAGGGUACUCACACUUUGGGCACUGCAAAUGAAACACACUAGAUUCAGUAGGAAGAAAAAUGCAUCAACGGCGGCAGCUGCCAUCCUAGGAUUACCUGCGACCAAGGGACUUGGAUUUAUCGGGGAUAGAUGAAGAAUUCGUACCUGGUUCUCCAUGAGAAAACCCUAUGCAAUCGCCGAGAGGGGGUUUUCUCUAAACAAGCAGACGAGGGAGAAGGGGAUUCAGGCCCAGCGAAAUAUUGCCGCUUCGUCCGUCCAGCUUACUACUAAAGCUGGAAAGGGUGGGUUCUGAUUUGGCGGCUCAUUGGGCAUUACUGCGGCGCCACGACCGGGGUGUGUCUACCGUGAAGUUGUGCACUCUAAUUUGUGCAUAUGGCACGUGGACCCCGUUGCCGGUUGCCCCACGUAUCAGCGAAAGGAAGUAGAAAGACAGGAGUAACUAGUUACACAUAAAUAUAUAUUUUGACAGAGAGAUACUCCCUCUUUAAAGAAAUAUACAAAUCUUUUAUAUCACAGACAGGCUCACCUUGCUGAGAAAUAUACUCCCUCUACAAUGCACGGGCAUUAUGGGGGUUCAGAUGAGAAUAUAAUACUCAGAUAGGAGCAUGGGCAUGUUUGGGGGCCCAUGUGUUCUACAUCAGCGCUUUUCAUAUUGCAAGCGAUCGGUACGGCGCUGGUUUUAGAUGCUGCAACAAGGCAAAUACACAAAAUUGAAUAAAGCACGACAGCUGUUGGAAUGAAAUCGAACAACAGUUCAUAACCAGCAAUCAGAGUUGCAAUUCUAUCAACGAUAUACCACACGAUAAAUAAUAUUGUCGUACUACUUAUACAUAUAGGACACUUGUUUCACCAUGCCAGAUUAUUACAUCAAAAUCUCUCAGAGGAUAGAUCAGUUCGACAGUUGCGUGCUGCUACUGAAGAAUUUCAAAGUUGAUUUGGACCAGCUCUCCUUGUUAAGAAAGUUCGAUUUUAACAUAAUCCCCUAUCGCAAGAUAUGAUUUAGAUUUGAACCUUGACCAUUCUUUAGCAUCAAUCAUCAUGCAACCAUCCUUUGUACUUAUGGUAUAUUGAGCAGGUUCAUUCACACCAAGGCUACGCAUGGUAAGAGAAACUUGGCCGCGGUUGCCCGGAUUGUUGAACGACUUCCUUAUUGCUAUUGGAAUUCUCUGUUUGCAAAUAAGAAGACAUAGCCAAAUAGUUAGAUCAACACAGUGAAUCAUGUGAAACAACAUGGAAAGAAAAAAGAACGAAGCACUUGGGCGGCCAAUCCUUACCAAGAAGGUGGACAUGUCAGUUUUUGUAAGGACUUUGGUAUAUGAAGUGCAAACUGCAGCCCAGUCUAUUGCCGGUGCAACUGCAUGGGCCGGAGCAAAUGCAAGUGCAAGUGUUGGUGCAGGUGCCAAAGCCGCUGCUGCUGCCGGAGAUGGUGCUCCUUGUAGAGCUGGUGCCGGUGUCGGAGCAGGUGCUGGUGUCGAUGCCUGAUCCUCCGGUAGAUCAGACUGAUCCCCUGACGCGGUCGGUGCCCAAUCCUCAGCUAGAUCAGACUGAGCUACUAUCGCUGUUAGUGCUAGAGCAACUGCCGGUGCUCGAUCCGUUGCUGAAGAUGGUACCGAUGUGCGAGAUAGCGGCGAUCGUGUCUGAUCUGCUAUGAUCAGCUUUCUAACUUGACUAGGAUCUGUGACCGUGAUCUAGUUUUUUUUCUUCAUUUCUUUUAAACGCGAGAAGGACUAAUUGUGGCGUUUUUGUUAAACCAAACUGCAGUUCAUCACAGGGAUUCAGCUUGUACUCAGACAACAGACUGAUCCAAUUUUUUCCAGUAAUAUACGUGAUGGACAGUGCCUUCAUUAGUGACACGACAUAAGAAGUGAAACCUGCAAAUAUAGCCAUCGUAGAGCAAACCAAAUGGUUUAUUCUAUGAUGAAUGUUGAAAGCACAAGUGCUCCCUAGGUGGUUUUGGUAAUUAAUGUCAACAUAUCUCUUGUUGGACUAACACUUUUAUCUAGUAUAUUUCAGAUAAGUUCAACAAUGGAGUGGCAUGGACUAAAGGAUGUGGGAACUCCUUCAAGAUGCUAAGGACACAGGAUUGGCUCAAGCUUCAAGCUCAAGACUCUUCAUUUUAUAUUUUAGUGAUCCAAGAUCACAUUGAGUCUAUAGGAAAAGCCAAUACUAUCAAGGAGGGAUGAGGUGUUGCUUAAUGAGUUUCUUGCUUCCCAGUGCUUAGUGAUAUGCUCCAAAACCCUCAACUACUUUCCCACUUCCACACAUAUGUCCUAAAACCUAAACUCAAACUCGGCCCCACCGAUUCUUCCUAUCCGGUGCCACUGAGUUUGGAUGUCUUAGCCAUUGCCACAAACCCUAGGCAAAUCGGUCCCACCCGAUAGGGAUCUCGGUCUCACCAAGAUGGGAUUGUAAUCUCUCUGUGUAUGUACAUUACCAAAAUCGGUCUCACCGAGUUUGAGCAAUCGGUACUACCGAGAUUACAAUGCAAAAUUUCUGGUUGACUCAUUACUAAAAUCAGUCCCACUGAGUUUGAGUAAUCGGUCCAACCGAGUUUGCCUGACCAACUCUCUGGUUAGCUAAUUACCAAAAGUGGUCUCACCGAGUUUGUGUAAUCGGUCUCACGGAGAUUACGUUAUGCCCUAACCCUAACCAUAUCGGUCCUACCGAAAAUCCUAACGGUCACUAGGUUUACUGAAUCGGUCCGACCAAGUUUGUUGAUUCGGUCCCAUCGAGUUUGGUAAAUUGUGUGUAACGGUUAGAUUUUGUGUGGAGGCUAUAUAUACCCCUCCACCUCCUCUUCAUUCAUAGAGAGAGCCAUCAGAACAAGCCUACACUUCCAGCAUCCUAUCUCUGAGAGAGAACUACCUACUCAUGUGUUGAGGCCAAGAUAUUCCAUUCCUACCAUAUGAAUCUUGAUCUCUAGCCUUCCCCAAGUUGCCUUCCACUCAAAUCUUCUUUCCACCAGAUCCAAAUCCUAUGAGAGAGAGUUGGGUGUUGGGGGACUAUCAUUUGAAGCACAAGAGCAAGGAGUUCAUCAUCAACGCACCAUUUGUUACUUCUUGCAGAGUGGUGUCUCCUAGAUUGGCUAGGUGUCACUUGGGAGCCUCCGACAAGAUUGUGGAGUUGAACCAAGGAGUUUGUAAGGGCAAGGAGAUCGCCUACUUCGUGAAGAUCUACCACUAGUGAGGCAAGUCCUUCGUGGGCGACGGCCAUGGUGGGAUAGACAAGGUUGCUUCUUCAUGGACCCUUCGUGGGUGGAGCCCUCCGUGGACUCACGCAACCGUUAUCCUUCGUGGGUUGAAGUAUCCAUCAACGUGGAUGUACGAUAGCACCACCUAUCGGAACCACGCCAAAAACAUCCGUGUCUCCAAUUGCGUUUGAAUCCUCCAAACCCUUCCCUUUACAUUCUUGCAAGUUGCAUGCUUUACUUUCCGCUGCUCAUAUACUCUUUGCAUGCUUGCUUGAUAUGUGUUGUGAAUGUUAAACUUGUGCCUAAACUCCACUUAAACUUUAAAAAGGUUAAAAACUGCAACUUUGGUACUUAGUGUCUAAUCACCCCCUCUAGACACCUCUUCUCAAGGUCCUACAAGUGGUAUCAGAGCAUUGGUCUCCAUUGCCUUGGUUUAAUCACCAUUGGAGGAAGAUGGAUGAGUCUACUUUGGGGAGUCUUAGACAUAGAGUGCCUAUUCUUGAUGGAGAGUAUUUUCAUGAGUGGAAAAAUGAGAUGCUUGUAAUUUUCAAUCAAUAUCAUUUGAACAAUUAUAUUGUUAGCCCUUGUGCACCUCAUGUUGAUCCUAUGCAUCCUACUCUUGAUGAGUCAAUUGACAUGGUUAGGAAUCUUAGAACUGCCGAACUUAUUAUUAAAGGAUUGCCUAGAAACUUGAUUGGAUGUUUGCCUACUCUUAAGUGUGCCUACACUAUAUGGAAAUUUCUUGAGGAACGAUUUCCAGAUUAUUCUUUGAAAAAUCUUGAUGAAAUUCUCCAUAAGUCUAUUGCCUUGAGUAAAAUGAAUACUAGUGAUCCUAUGUUUGGUGAUCGUCUAUUUGAGCUUACAAACCUCAUGCGUGCCAAAGGAAAUGUUGGUAUUAUUAGUGAUAUUAUUUCUGAAGCUAUAAAAAUUCAUAGACAAGAUCAUUGUCAAACUCACUCUAACGAAUCACCCUCUCUAGGAUUUGAUCCACCACAUGACGAUGUUGAACAUGGAUACUAUGAUGAGGAUGAUGAUAGUGACUUCGAUCUUGAUGAUGCAAUGAGACAUUUUGGUCUUAUGGCAAAUCUUCAGGGAUAUAUGUCAGGAGGAAAGGAAUGGGUUCUUGAUAGUGGAUGUACCGAUCACAUGACCGGAGAUAAAGACAUGUUUCGUCCUCGAAAGUAUGUCACUUUCGGUGACAACUCAAAGGGUAAGGUGGUUGGCCUUGGUAAGGUGGCCAUAUCACAUGAUAGCUCCAUACAAAAUGUCAUGCUCAUUUAAUCUCUUGGAUACAACUUACUUUCAGUAUCUAGACUUGCUGAUUUCGGUUUCAAUGUCCUAUUUACUGAAGUAGAUUGCCAAGUGUUUCAUUGAGACAAUCAUAAAAUGGUCUUUACCGGUGUGCAUAGAGGUGAUCUAUACAUUGUUGAUUUCACUAAAAAAGGCUCAACCUAAAACUUGCUUCAUUGCUAAAUCCUCAAAAGGUUGGUUAUGGCAUAGACGAUUAGGUCAUGUUGGUAUGCGAACUUGACAAGCUUAUUAAGGGAAAUCAUAUCCUUGGAGUUAAUGAUGCCAUAUUUGAUAAGGAUAGACUUUGCAGUGCUUGUCAGGCAGGUAAACAGGUUGGAGGAAGGCAUCCCGUGAAGAACAUUAUGACCACAAGGAGGCCACUCGAGCUACUUCAUAUGGAUCUCUUUGGUCCCAACUCUUACAAGAGUCUCGGUGGAAAUUCUUUUGGUCUAGUUAUAGUUGAUGAUUUUUCUAGGUUUACGUGGGUGUUCUUUCUCGAUGAUAAAUCGCAGGUCCAAAAGAUCUUCAAAAACUUCGCUAGGAAGGCCCAAAACCAAUUUGAAGUGAAGAUCAAGAAGGUUCGCAGCGACAACGGAAUGGAGUUCAAGAACGCAAAUGUGGACACCUUUCUUGACAAAGAAGGGAUUUCACACGAGUUCUCGGCUAUGUGCACACCUCAACAAAAUGGAGUUGUUGAGAGGAAGAACCGGACGCUCAUCGAAAUGGCGAGAACAAUGCUUGAUGAGUACAAGACGCCGAAGCAUUUUUGGGCAGAAGCGGUUGAUACACCUUUUCAUGCAACAAAUCGCUUGUAUCUUCACAAGCUACUUGGCAAGACGGCAUACGAGCUCCUCACCGGUAACAAACCCCAAGUUGGAUACUUUCGAGUAUUCGGUUCAAAGUGCUACAUUCUUGAUAAGCAUCAUCGUUCUAAAUUUGCUCCUAAGUCUCAUGAAGGUUUCCUACUAGGUUAUGGCUCAAACUCUCACACUUACCGUGUCUACAACAAUUUCACCCGAAAGGUUGAAGAGACGUUAGAUGUGAAGUUUGAUGAAUCUAACGGCUCGCAAGUAGAGCAAUUGCCAAUUGAUGUAGGAGACAAAGAUCCUUCGGAAGCAAUCCAAGACUUGUCUAUUGGCAAGGGUCCGUCCAACAGAGGUGAAGGAGAGUACCUCGUCCGUCCAAGUGGAAGCUUCUACUUCAUGACAAGGUGAACCAAGAGUUGAUACGGAAGCAUCCACAAGUGGGACACACCAAGAUGAAGAAAACGAGGAAGUGCAUCAAGAUGAACGUCAACAACCUCCUUCUCCACCACGACAAGAGAGCGACAACGCCAACAAUGAAGAAGGCCAAGAAGAAGAACAAGAUGAAGAAGAAGUUCAACCAAGAUCCAAGCAAAAGCUUUCACGAGUUCGAGCAAGAAUUGCCAAAGACCACCCCGUCGAGCAAAUCUACAAUGACAUUCAAACCGGGAGAAUCACUCGCUCUAAAACUCGUUCAGCUAACUUUUGUGAAAACUAUUCUUUCAUCUCUAGCAUUGAACCUAUGAAGGUCGAAGAAGCAUUGGAAGAUCCGGAUUGGAUAAAUGCUAUGCAUGAAGAGCUACACAAUUUUGAUAGGAACCAAGUUUGGACAUUGGUUGAGAAGCCUGACAACAACCACAACAUCAUCGGUACCAAAUGGGUGUUUCGCAACAAGCAAGAUGAAGAUGGACAAGUAGUUCGCAACAAAGCACGUCUCGUCGCCCAUGGCUACACACAAGUCGAAGGUAUGGACUAUGGUGAGACUUAUGCUUCCGUUGCUAGACUUGAGUCCAUUCGCAUCUUACUUGCCUAUGCUAAUCACCAUGAUAUUACCUUGUACCAAAUGGACAUUAAAAGUGCUUUUCUAAAUGGUGAAAUAGAGGAGGAAGUUUAUGUUAAGCAAUCUCCCGGCUUUGUCAAUCCUAAGAAACCCAAUCAUGUUUACAAACUUCACAAAGCUCUUUAUGGUCUUAAACAAGCUCCUAGAGCAUGGUAUAAAUACUUGACCAAGUUCCUUAUUGAAAAAGGCUUUGAAAUUGGGAAAAUUGAUUCUACUCUUUUUACUAAAAGGGUUAAUGGAGAACUAUUUGUAUGCCAAAUCUAUGUUGAUGAUAUUAUAUUUGGUUCAACUAACCCUCAUUUUAGUGAAAAGUUUGGGAAGCUAAUGUCAGAGAAGUUUGAGAUGUCUAUGAUGAGUGAACUCAAAUUCUUUCUUGGGUUGCAAAUCAAGCAAACUAAGGAAGGUACUUUUGUUUCUCAAACGAAGUACACCAAGGACUUAUUCAAGAAGUUCAAUAUGCAAGAAUGCAAAGGUAUGACUACACCCAUGCCUACUAGUGGACAUCUUGACUUAACCAAAGAUGAUGAACCGGUUGAUCAAAAGGUUUAUCGCUCUGUGAUUGGUUCAUUGUUAUAUCUAUGUGCUUCACGUCCCGAUAUUAUGCUAAGUGUGUGCAUGUGUGCACGAUAUCAAGCUGCUCCUAACGAAUGUCAUCUUAAGGCCGUGAAAAGGAUAGUGAGAUACUUAAUUCAUACACCAAAUUUUGGCAUUUGGUAUCCUAAGAGAGCCUCUUUCGAUCUUGUUGGCUACUCUGACUCGGACUAUGCCGGAGACAAGGUUAAUAGAAAGUCCACUUCAGGUACUUGUCAAUUUCUUGGUAGAUCUCUUGUGUCUUGGUCCUCCAAGAAACAAAACUCGGUAUCCUUAUCCACCGCCGAAGCGGAAUACAUUGCCGCUGGUUCAUGUUGUGCUCAAUUACUUUGGAUGACCCAAACUCUUAAAGAUUAUGGGAUAUAUGUGAAACAUGUUCCAUUGCUUUGUGACAAUGAAAGUGCUAUCAAAAUUGGUCAUAAUCCUGUGCAACAUUCUCGAACUAAGCAUAUUGAAGUUCGUCAUCAUUUCAUUCGAGAUCAUGUUGCUAAGGGUGACAUUGAUCUUAAGCAUGUUCGCACCAAAAAGCAAUUAGCGGAUAUAUUCACUAAACCUCUUGAUGAGAAAGUGUUUUGCAGGUUAAGAGGAGAAUUGAACAUCAUUGAUGCUUCAAACUUGGAGUAGAAACUCCAUUGGAUACAUGCAAGACAUGAGCUUAUGACCAAUCCUUGAAAUUUCUCUUAUGAUGAAAAUCUUAUGUCUUGGAUAUAUUUGUAUCUUGCAUGUUAUCUAACCCAUGUAGGUACUUGGUUGAAUCAAAUUCCAUGAGAUUGUAACCUACUCAUAUCUUGAGCAAUCUCUACAUCACCAAGUCUCUACACUAUGGUGGUUGAAGACAAGGAAGCACGGAACCAUUCAAACAUAUCCUUUGAUAAAUUCUAUGCUGAGCUUCAUGAUUGUCAUUUUUGGAUACACAAGUGCUCUUCCUUGCAAGAACUAACCCAUGUAGGUAGAUGGACUCAAAUUCCAAGUGGUGCUCCAAAUUCUUGAUAAGCUACAUCACCCUUGAGCAACCCACACAAGUUCAACUACAUGGAAAACACCACCAACCAAGGUAUGUUAUUCCAUCUUAGAGAAGCUUUACUCCAAGUCAUGAGUUAAAGCAACUCGACAAGAUGUGAAUACAUCAAGAUGCUUAAACGAAAAAUGGCAACCCCAUUUUGAGCUUAAACGAUGAGUAUGACCUAUGAUCUAGUGAUCUCACUUGACUCCUAAGUCAAUAUACUCUAACAUAGGUGACUUUGUCGCCGACCAUCUCUAGAUGAAGUUCUCUUAUGUUCUUUUCUGUGUCUUUGCAUUCAUCUCAUGCAUAUUUGUUUACCCUUUCAACAAAAAAAAAA